GCUUCACCGCUGCUAGAGCUCGCGAUCUCCUCUACGUGUUGGCCCUACCUGCACAAAGGACACUCUAGGUAGGUUCCCGAGGACACUAUAGGAUCGUGAGCUCUAACAUUGGUGAAGCUAGGUUGAUCAUGAACUUCCGAAGUAACAAAAUAACCAAAAUAAUCAAUUCUCUAGAGAUUGCUUUUGUUUCUUUUUAUUUCCCUUCCAUAGGGAUUUAAGAGAAUGUAAUAUGAAUAUGCACAAUUUUUAAUCAAUUCAAUCCAUGUUUAAAAAAUAAAAAUAUUCGAGAAGUACUAUUCUGAAGGAAAAUUUCUCGAAACAACUUUCAAUCAUGUUAGUAAACGUGUUUUCAGUAGUAUUUAAAAAAAAUAAAUGAAUCAAAUACAGUUUCAGUGCUGAAUUUGAGCUCAUCUUCUGUCCUGUGUCUUGGAUUAGCGCAAACCGUUCUCCACUGUGGCCGACUUCCAAAUUAUUCGAUACUCGUAAUGCAAAUCAAAAUUAGAUUAAAAAAAUGAAGCUUACAACAUUAUGUUUGUGUUGCUCAAUCAUUGAUGGAGGCUGGAGCCUUGUGUUUAGGUCUUCAAAGGGCAGUUGAGUUCUUCGAAUGAAGAUGAAGAUUGUCAUGGACUGAGAUGCCCAUUUGAACAUGGGGUUUGGCGUUUUACGCUUUCUAAUAGAUUAAUUUUGUGGGUCAUCGUUGGGUUCUGUUGUGAAUUCCAUUCGAAGGAUGGGGUGGGUGCAAGGGCUUUCACACAACGACGUCGUUGUGGUUUCUCCGUUUCUGGCAAGGACAUUGAAAUGAAAGGUUUCAGGGGUUUCAGCAGACGAGGUGUUUUCUGGUGGCAGAUGAAUCUUUUAUGAGGUAAUCAUAAGCUGAUAAUAUUUAUAGUAAGUGGGUCUUAAGUUUUUUGCUAAUUCAAUCUUUAUGCGCUAUGCUGUUGGGUUGGUCUUAUUGCAGUUGAAGUACUCUGCUUACUUUAUAUUUCUUUAUGCGCUAUGUUUAGGGCAAAUGUUUUCUUCUGUUCAUUGCAUAUUUGAGUGUUGGAGCUAGUCUGGUUAAGAUCCCAUAAAGAAUAUUUUGUAGAGAACUUGAAAGUGUAGGGUUAAAAAAAAACUGGAUUAAUAUGUGGUAUGCCAUGUUUAUCAGGUAUAGUAUGGCUUAAACUGUUAUGAUCAGUCAAUUUUUGGAACCACUGAUUGGGUAAUUAGUAUCAUAUGAUGGAGUUGAUAACUGUGAAGGGCAGGGAUAGAUUUACCACUUUUUCAAUCUAAAGGGUUUACGCUCUAGUUUUCAACAGAAUUUAAGUGUGCGAGUCAGUUUCUAACCCCAACCAGAUUGUUGUUUGGUUUUAAAAUGUACAUUCAUGGAGAGGCCACAGAUGCUUUCUUACAUUUUCAAACAGUUCUGGACAAGUGGGUCAAUAAACAUCAUAUCAAGACUCAGUUGAUCCAUAUAUCUAAAAUGUUCCGAAUUAGAAAUUUCCAUGAAAGAAAAAUGAUCCCAACUUUUCAAUUCAUAAAUUAAAUAAAAUCAGGCACAAUAAUUGAGCUAAUAUGUCUCACAAGUGCAGCAGAAAAGCUUUAAUGCUUAUGCAAUGUUGUCUAGGCUUCUCUCAUGUUUAAACAAUCUGUUAGGAUUUUAUCUACAUUAACCUAAGGUAAUCAUCCUAGAGGGGAGUUGGGAGGAGGGUGGGGGGUCGUUUAAUAGGGUGAUGGUCUCUUUUUUAGAAAGAAUUAAACUAUUUGAAUGCAAGAAACAAUUAUAUGCAGAUAUAUAAUAAAUAUAAUGAAAAAACAAUUACAUAUAAAAUAAAAAGUAAGGUUCAUGAAGACACCUUUUCUUUGAACUGGUCCUUCCAAGUCAUUGAAAGAAAAAAAUCAAGAUCUUCAAAUACAUCCUCUCUAAAUCUUCCGGGAUUGGGCCGGAGAGGCUAUUAGAAGAAAGAUCUAAUCUCUCCAGUGCCAAUAAUUUGCCCACUGAAUUAGUUAUUAAACCCCCUAAUUUAUUUCUUGCUACAUUGAGAUCAUGCAAACUUAAGUGACCGCCAAUUAUUGCUGGCAUACUUCUUGACAAUUGGUUGUCAGAAGCAUCCAGGGUGCCUUGAUUUUCCAAACUGCCAACUUUGAUGGGCAAAGAACCAUUUAGAGCCUUUUGUGCCAAUCACAACUCCAGUAAACUGGCGGUUAUUUACUUGUACUUUUUGGCUGGUUUGGCGGUGAGUGUAUAGGUAUUGUAUAUCUUGAGUCGCUCUUUUGACGCCUCUUUUCACAAGAUCUUUUCUUUACCUAUCAAAAAAACAGCUCCAGUAAACUGGGGCAGGAAAAUCUCCUUGGGUAUGCUGCCACUGAGCUUGUUAUGGGCUUGACCCAAUGUCCUUAGACUCUGGCACUCCCCAAUAUUUUGAGGAAAGAAAUGGUUAUAUCCCAUCCUAAGCUCAAGUAAUCACAUAAGUUUGCCAAAGGUAUCUGGAAUUUCUCCAGAUAAAGUGUUUUCAUUUGCUAAAAUUUUCUGUAGUGUCAGAGAAAGGUUUCCUAUAGAAGUUGAUAUCUUACCUGCAAAGUCAUUCUGCUGUAUGUCCAAGGCCUGGGGAUUUUCAAAUUUGAAAGCCCUCGGGGAAUGCUACCAGUCAGGAAAUUGUAGCCAAUGCAAAGUUCUUGGAGAUGCAUAGAAAGAUUCACAAUUGAACUUGGAGGUUUCCCUGUCAGAUGGUUGGAAUUAAUAGAUAGAACCUCCAAUGGGGUAAAGUUUGUUAGGAAAUUAAUUACCUGAAGAUUUAGCUAGGUGGUAGGAGAAAGAUUGUUCCAUCCCAGAUUUAGGAUUCUAAGAUUAUUUAUGUUACCAAGUAGAGAAGAGAAGUCACGGAUUCGUAUUUGAGAAGCAUUGGAUAGUGAAAUGGGUAUGAGUCCUUUCAUCAUGUAAUAUCUGAUAAGAAGAGUUCCCUCAGAUUAGGUAGAACAAGGCCAAUAUCAGCGGGUAGUUUUUCAACCUGCAUGCUUUGUUUUUCACAUCAAAGAGGAAAUGUUGUAGAUGAAGUGAGGGAACUCACCAUCUAAGAAAUUCUCUAAGAGCUGAAGUUGCUGAAGAUUACGGAGAUGACCCUUCUCAUUUGGAAUAUUACCCAAGAAUUGUUUUCUCACUAGUCUCAAAACAGCAAGAGAGGUGAGAUUUCUAAAUGUAGGAGGUAUUGCACCUAUAAGAUUAGUCACUGCAGCAUGUUAAGAUCUAGCUAUACCAACAUAAGGUAAUCACCUUGGAGAGGGGGAAAGUAAAUAGGUGAUGAUCACUUUUUACAAAUUUAAACUUAGAGAAUGCAAGUAACAAUAUAGUAAUAAUAUAAUAAAAAAAUAAAGAACAAUAAUUAAAGAGAUUAGGGAAGAGAGAUUGAAAACUCCAAUUUAUAGUGGUUUGGCCUAAUCCUGGCCUACAUCUGCUCUCCUCUGGCUUCAAUCAAGAUUGGGGUACCACCAUACCAAGGCUUCCAAAUCAAGCCUUUAAGCUUUACACUCAUAUUAAAAGGCUCCAAUGGGCACUUACAAUUUUCUUCAAAAGAUGUCUCACUCUUAAAUUCCCCAAGUGAUACCCCAUACUUAACAAACCCCUAAGUGAUACCUCACACUUAGGUUUUUCCUUCGAGUGAUACCCCAUACCUGAGCUCAUCUCACAAGGUUUACAAGAAAUGAAUUUUUCAAUACAAAUUUCUAGUUUACAAAUUUUUGCUUAAGGAUGCAAAGAAAACUAGAAUUGAUUAGGUGCACUAAGAAUGAAAUAUAAGUUUAAGCCCAAUGCUCUCAAAAAUAUUUUUGUAAGGCUCAAAAGUGUUGAACUAUUAAUUUUCCUAAAAGUUAAAGCUUAUGGGAUUUAGGCUCACAAGAUAUAUCAUGUACUCUAACACCCUCCCUUACGUGUAACCUCUAUUUUUGGGCUUUCACUUAGGCUUAAUAAAUUAGGUAAAUAAACAUGCAUUGGUGGUUCAAACACUUGACCCCCCUCUAAACAGGGCUUUGAUACCAUUUUGAAGUUUGAAUUACCAAUUUUCCUAAAAGCUUAAACUUGUAGGAUUUGGGCUCGCAAUGUAUAUUAUGCGCUCUAACAAAAGGUGAUUAAAUAAUGGUUUAGAAGUAUUCUAUCAUUUAUAAAUGAAGUAUAGUGCCUUUAUAUAGGAGCUAAAAGGUUAAACUAGCCGUUAGAAAUAAGUCUCCCAGAACUAGAUGUCCUCAUGGGCAUCCACAUGCUAGCCGUUGGAGCACUUAAUGAGGUGCAAAGAGCCAUUGGAGCAUUUAAUGAGGUGUAGAGAGCUGUUGGAGGCAAAAAAGUAGAUGUGGAUGUCCACUUGGUCAUCCACAUUGCCAAGCGGAUGACCGCAUGGCUGUCCACAUGACUUCUAGUAGCUAAAACUACCAAAAUAGAGCAAGUGGAUGACCACCUGAAUGUCCAAAUGACAACUGGAUGAUCGCUUGGUUAUUUGCAUGUGCUCUAAUCCAAUAUUUUUCGAAGUUUAUGCAUGUUUUGAGGCCAAGACCACCUUUAACUAGCCCAUAUGAAUGUAAAUCACCUUUUAACAAAGUCUUAAUCAAUAUUUUGAGAUAUUUUCAAGGUUUGAGAGCAUCGUGGUUAAGUCAAAAAUGUUUUUAAGAAACCUUAAAAGAUUUUCAUGUAUAGCUUGAGGCCCAUAUGAAUGUACAUACUCAAAAUGAUUUUUAUCCAAAUUAUAAAACUAUUAAACCAAUUUAAAACUCCUGGAUAAUGUUUUGGUGCUUAACAAAAAUCUGUAAUCUUAACUUAGUGCACCCAUCAUCUUACAUAAGGUAUUCUAAUGAUAAACUUGAUAAACCUUUUCUUCAUUCUUUUUGAAUUCCUCUUUUGCUCCAUGUAUCUUUUUCUUGAUGGUUCUAAGGAGAUCUUCUUGUGUAUCACACUUAAACAUAAUCAUUAGAUCCAAACCUUGUUUUGUUAUCAUUAAAACACGAGGUUAACUAAACCUUGGUCUAACACAACAUUGAGAACUUUUGAGUCUUGACAAAUGGCCAAGCUUAAAAGAAAGCUUUUUAGUAGUGGCUGUACUGUAAAUGAAUCUCCUCAAGGUUAUAAUAAGUUAAUAACUAGAGAGACUGACUGGAAUUGUACCAUUAAUGGAAUUUUGUGCAAGGUUAAUAUGCUGAACAAGUGAGGGCUGGCCAAACUCCAGGAGAAUUGGCCAUAAAAUGAGUUCUUGGAAAGAUUUGAGUAAUUGCAGGAAGGUGAGGUUGGAGAGUUGAGGGGAUAUGAUACCAGAGAGCUGAAGUACAGCAAACCAAGGAAAGCGAACCAAGCAAAAUGAGUAGAGUGUGAUGAAUUUAGGUUCCAGCCAUGAGUUCCUUAAUUGGUGCAAGUGACACCAUGCCAAGUACUGUGAGAUGAAUUUAGGUUCCAGACUGACAGAGCAGCAUGAGGGUCAGAGGCUUUGGAUUUCAAAGAUGGAAGUGCAUGUAUCGGUGUUAGCAACAAGAGCUCCUGGCUUGUUCAUGCUGCAAUCUAGAAUAAUUUGAAGCUUGAGGAGGAUGAGCCAUGAAAUCUGGAGAUGCUCUUUCAUUUUUGAAAUGAGGAUCAUGGACUGCAGGGCUUGCCCUAGAUGUAUGGCUGUCAGCAGUUUAUGCACAUAGUUAUCACCCUAAGUUAAGGCUUGAAGAUGAUUUAAAGAAAUCAAAACAAUUCAAUUUUCCAUUCUUCUGCAUUACUCAAAUAAAAAUAUAAGGGUUAUAUCUUCCUGUUAUAAAUUUUGCAAUACUUCCAUGACAUUAUUAAUAUUUUGGAGACUGUUAAUUUCUCUCCUUGUUUUAGUGAAAUUCGUGAAAUGUCCUUGAUACAUUGUGGUAUAUCUCCUGAACCUCCAUAUUUCUUUUCAAACUUUCAUAAUCUCUUCCAUAUUAUAUCAAUGAUAAUUGAUUUGAUCUGGAUUUCACUCCUUAUGCUAUCUGUUUUUAAGAAUAAUAAUAUUUCAUGAGACUUUGAUAUUCAGACUUAUAUUUUAUAUAUACUAGUUAGCUAUCAAAAUUCCAUCUGCUGUUACACAUUUCGUUUAUAAUAAACAACUUUAAUGUUAUUCUGUCAAAUAUAUGAAUAUUUACCAAUUUACAACUCAUACAUAUAAGUCAUCAUGCACAACUCUCACCCUACAUACUACACAUUUGUCAUGUCUAUAUUAUUUUAUUAAUAUUCAGUCUAAAUUUUGCAUUAUAACAUGCAUCAGCAAUUCUUGAAGUUUCAAUUUAAAUUUCUAUGUUGUGUAUGUAAUUUAGAUCAUUUCUUUAAAAAUUUGUGAAUAUUGAUAUUUAUUGUUAUUUCCAUUGAUAUUCCUAAACAUCCACAAAAUGAAUAUUUGAAAACUUGAGUUUAUUGAACAAAGGGAGAUUUGUUCUCUCUUUUAUCCAAAGUUAAACAAUAAUUUUAUUUCCUCAUAAUCACUUCUCCAAGUCAUCUGACUACAUGAUAUAAAAUUUGGCCUUAUUUUUGUCAAUAUUUGUAAACAUUCAAAGAUUCCUUUUCGAAAAAAAAAAAAAAAAUCUAAUAGGCAGUCAUUCUGUGUGACAGUACUGAAUUGCUCUGAUCAUAAGACUGACCCUGUUUUAUGCAAAGGAAGCUCGUCUCCUUUGACCAAUUGGUGAGUCUGGUAUGCAGGGCAUAUCGUCAUGAAUUGUUUGAAUGAAUAUGGGUUCUAUUUAGCCUUGGACCCAGGGAGCAUGACAGCUUGAGCUUGUGCAUAUUUUUCCCUUUGAAUACUUCUUUAAACCUACAUGCUUCAGGAACUAGAAUAUCAAAAGAUAGUAAUGAGGGAAUUGCCCCAAUCAUAAGACCAACCCUGUUUUAUGCCAAGAAAGCUCGUCUCCUUUGACUAAUUGGUGAGUCUGGUAUACAGGGCAUAUUGUCAUGAAUUGCUUGAAUGAAUAUGGGUUCUAUUUAGCCUUUAACCCAGGGAGCAUGACGGCUUAAGCUUGUGCAUAGUUUUCCCUUUGAAUACCUUCUUUAAAGCUACAUGCAUCAGGAAUUAGAAUAUCAAAAGAUAGUAAUGAGGGACUUGACAGCUGGAGGCUUUUCCUUGAGCAUGUCUGACUGACUGGAUGCCUUUGAAUAAAUAAAUAAAUAAAUAAAUAAAUUGUACUCAUCCAAAUGCAAUCAUAAAGUUGAUGGAUUCAUCUUGAAUCUUAAUGCUUAACCUUCUCGACAGUAGUUGAUUAUUAAUUGGGGGGAAAAAAAUGAGAGAGAGCGAGAGUGAACACACGAGCGAAGGCAAGGAGGGGGAGAGCCGAGCAGAGAAUCGUGGGAAGAGGAAGGGAAGCAGAUUUGUGGUGGAAUCGAAGGUGUUAGAGGUAGAAGCCGAGGAGAGAAAAGGCAAGAUCCAAGUUAUUAUCUCGGAAAGCAAGGGAGAGUUACUGUCUUGGGUCCGCCUGGGGCCGGCGAGUGUGGGGCUGUUCAUAGAAGGGUUGACUCAAUGCAUAAGGGAUGGGAAAGAAGGAAGAUGGGAGAAGGGUUGGAAGGAAAAAGGGAGGACUUACUCUUUGGUGAGAGAGGUCAACAGGGUUGGGUGUUUCAUCCGUCUAGGGGUGACCGAUAUGGAGAAGAGGAGAUUUGGUAUUUGUAUUCCAAAAGGUAGGGGGGUGAAGGGGGGAUGGGCUUCUAUGGUGGAGUCCUUACGGAAUGUGGGACUUUGGUUCGAAAAGAAGGAAACCGACCAAGAAGUAAAGGUCUCAGGCAGGUUGUAUGUGGAAGUGGUAAAGGGUCUGGAGUGCAGGGAUGCCUCAAGGGUUAGAGUGGAGGUAAAGGGAGAGGAAAUAAGGGGAAAUGUGAGUAGAUUGGAGCAUUGCUUGGUAGGAAAAUGGAACCCUAGAUCAGCACAAGAAGAGGAUUUGGAGAGAUUAGGGUGGUCGGUGGCAAGAGCGUGGGGGUUGAAAGGUAAAUUAGGUUUGGCUAGAUUGGGUAAGGGAUGUGCUCUUAUGGAGUUUGAGAUUGUGGAGGAAGCUAAGAGGGUUCUAGCCUCGGGGGAGAGAUUAGUGGGAGGGAUUCAGCUGGGAUUGGAGAUGUGGAGCCCGAAAUUUGGAUGUUCUUCAGAGGGUGAAGCUAGGAAAGAAGCCUGGGUGAGGAUUUUGAGUCUCCCAAUUUCGCUAUGGGUGCCGUCAAUUCUGAGGAGAGUGGGGGAAGCGUGCGGCGGGUUUUUAGGCAUUGACUCCCUAACAUAAAGGAAGGAGGAACUGGAGUGGGCCAGGGUUCUGAUAAAAUCGAAUGGGGAGGAUUUGCCGAGUACGUUGGAGAUCGGGGUUGAGGGGGAGGUAUACGCCCUGUCUCUGUGGUGGGAGAUCUCGCCGUCGCUGAGGAAGAAACGGGGGGAUGACCGAGACGGGUAUGGGCGGCAGAAAGGGGAGGUUAGGGGUGAUGAAGAGGUCCUUCACCUUUUAGAUUCGAGAACAUGUGGCUGAAAGUGGAAGGGUUUAAAGACCUCAUGCGGAGUUGGUGGCAGGGGAUGUCGGUCAGUGGAAGGGCUAGCUAUAAGCUGGCUACAAAAUUGAAGGUGAUUAAACAGAAUUUAAAAACCUGGAAUAGGGAGGUGUUUGGGAGCUUGGAGAGUAAUAAAUUGGUUGCUUUACAACAAGUGGAAUACUGGGAUCAAGUGGAAAGCGAGAGGAGACUGAUAGAGGAGGAAACCUCCAUUAAAAAAGAAACAAAAGAAGGAUAUGCUAAGUGGGUUAAUUUGGAGGAGAUACAUUGGAGACAGUUAUCAAGGGAGAUAUGGCUAAGAGAAGGGGAUAGAAAUACGGGUUAUAAAUGACAUUUGGGUGGAGAACGUUUCUUCUAAGUUAGCAUUCUUUGCGUGGGAAGCUACUUGGGGGAGGGUUCUUACCCUUGAUAGGCUUCAAAAGAGAGGAUGACAGCUUCCUAAUCGUUGUUAUUUAUGUGGUAGUGAUGAGGAAAAUGUAAAUCAUCUUCUUAUUCAUUGUACAGUGGCUAGAGUGUUGUAGGAGAUUGUCCUUGGUUUGUUUGGUACCCAGUGGGUCUUUCCAGAAUUUGUAAAGGAGGUGGUUCUUAGCUGGAAGGGUUCUUUUGUGGGUAAAAAGAGGGAGAAAAUUUGGAGAUCCAUUCCGUUAUUUAUUUUUUGGACGGUUUGGAAGGAGAGGAAUAGAUUAGCAUUCACAGGGGGGGGGGGGGGGGGGGGGGUUAGUUUUUUAAAAAAUAAAAAAUUUUUUUUUUUUUAAAGGGGGGGGGGGGGAAAAAUUUUUAAGGGGGGGGGGGGCCCCCCCCCUUAAGGGUUUUUGGGGGGGGUUGGCCCCCCGUUAAGGGGGGGGGGGUUUUUUUUUUCCUUUUUUUUUUUUUGGGAGGGCCCCGGCGCCCCCCAAAACCCCCUGUUGGUAUGGGGGGGUUUUCCCUUUUGCAAAAAAAGGGGUUUUCUUUCCGAAAAAAAAAAAAANNNNNNNNNNNNNNNNNNNNNNNNNNNNNNNNNNNNNNNNNNNNNNNNNCUCCCUUAUAGGUUUCUUGGAGUGGUUAGCCUCCAGUUAAGGGUCGGUGGGUUUUUUUGUUCCUUUUGUCUUUUGUUGAGAGGCCCACGUCGCCUCGUAUACUCCCUGUAUGCUAUGCGGCGUUUUGCCUUUUGCUAAUAUAUGUGUUUACUUAUCGAAAAAAAAAAAAAACCUUCUAUACAGUAUAUUAUUUCCCAAUGGAAGUGCUAUAAACUAAACAAAUACACCCUUUCCAAUUGCUAUAAAAAUUACUGGGUUGGAAACAGUCCACAUAGGUGAGUGAAUUAUCGAAUAAUCUCAAGAUUGAACAGCCAGAUUUUUCCAGAUAAGAAGUCGCUACAAAUCUUUUCUUCUCUUAAUUAUUUUCUUCUUUGAGAUUCUGUAACUGCUGUGUGUGCAUGAUUGGUCACUCAUUUUCUUGUGACAUCAUCUUCAUGACUUAUUUUCUUCACAAGAAACAUUCUUUUUUAUUCUUUGACAGAAUUUAAAAGUUGACUUUGAUUGGUUUACCACUUAGUUGCAACCUCAUUUUCUUAGCCACCUUUCCCCAUCCCAAGUUCAAAAGCCUUGUUUCUAUUUCUAAGUCAGUAAGAGCUAUCCUUACUCCGUCAUUUAUCAGGAUUGUAUAUAUCGUGUACUCUUUGGUGCCAUUAUAUAUACAUGUUAUUUGUAAAUCAGAAAAAAAAAAUAUGGAAAAAUGUCUUAAGAGAGUGGUUUGGAGUUAUUUGGGAUUGUGAUUAUGGGGGGUGGGUUUUUUUAUUCAGCAUUAGUAAGUUCUCUCCAAUCUUCUUCAACUUUUGAUUUAUGCCAAGAUUUUUGCAGUUUAUUUUUGUAGUUGCCAGCAUAAGUUAAGGCCUGAGGUGUAGAAGAGGAUAACCCAUGAAAAUUGAGUUUAUAGAGAAAAGGAAAAACAUAUUUUAUUUAUUUUUAUUACUGUUAAAGAGUAAAAAAUGUAUGUUAAGUUAACGUCCUCUUGUGCACACAUCUCCAACCGUGCAGGGAGUGAAACAUUUUUAAACAAAUGCAUGGGGAAUAAACGAACAUAGAAGUUUAAACCUGAGAGUUCUAAGAAUCAAGGCUCUAGUACUAUAUUAAAUGAUCAGUUAUCACAAAAGUUUAAGCUUAUACAGAAUGAGUUAAGAAUAUUUAUCAAGUUAAUGGAAAUGAUAGGAACUAGUUAGUGAAAGAGAGUGACAAAGGAAAUUGACAGCAGAAAGCUAAUCCUUCAAAAGUAAAUGGAAUUAACAAAUUAACAAAUUACACUCAUUUCCAUGCUGUUAAAGAAAAUGAAAUCGAUCUCCAUGUGACUUAGUCAAUUGGUUCAUCUCAAAGGUCUAGUUUUUAAACUUGUUGGUAUUAUAUGUAUGGAUAUACCCAAUUCAAUUGCCAUUAAAAAAUAAAUAGAUAAAUAAAUAAAUAUACUCCUUCCAAUUGCUAUUAACAAUUAUUGGAAGUGGGUGACUAUCUGUAUGGUUGACCUGGUAAACGGAUUCAUCUCAAGAUGGCCCAAUUAGCUUUUCUAGAGAAGUCAACACAAACAAUUUUAUUGUUUUAUUUUUAUUUUUUGAUUUUUCUUCUUCUACAACAAUUGGCUGUUCAUGAUUAGUCACAUAUUGGUUGUAACAUCAUCUUGAUAACCUACUUUUCUGCAUGGGAAUCAUUUUUUUUUUUUUUGGUUCUUUGACAGAAUGUUAAAAUUGACAGAGAUAAUGAGAUUGGUCCAACACUUAUUAAUGGCAACAUCAGUUUUGUUAGCCGUUUUCAUCUAUCUCCUAUGUAGAGGCCUUGUUCCUUAUGCCUAAUCUAUAAGAGCUAUCUUCUGUGUAUCAUAGAUGGAUCAUGGAUUAGAUAAUGCAUAUGCAAAACAUAGAAGAAAGAACACUGCAGGGAUCAUUUCCUAGGAAAAGCCUUUCCUCUCAAAGAAAAACUAAUCAGGAUUCAGUACUACUAGCAUACUUUUGAUCAAGUAGAUUUUAUGAGCUGAGCUGACUAAUAGAUCUUCUAUGCCUAGUCCCUUUGUUUUGUACCAAAAAAGGAAAAAAGGAAGUGAGAAAAUAAGAAAGGAGAAAUCAGAAUGAGAAUUUAGAGUGCAUGAUUUAAAAUGCUUAAANNNNNNNNNNNNNNNNNNNNNNNNNNNNNNNNNNNNNNNNNNNNNNNNNNNNNNNNNNNNNNNNNNNNNNNNNNNNNNNNNNNNNNNNNNNNNNNNNNNNGAAACAGUCGACAACCCUAGAUUUUCUUAUUAUGUAAUUAAAUAGUCAGCAUUUCCAAAUCCCUCGUGUUUUCGUGUAUAAAUACUCAACCUUGACUAAAAUUCUUCAUUCUCAUCCCACUCUAGCUUUUGUUUUCUUUAGCUUGUUAUAUAUUCAUCCUCUGAAGUUAGCAUGGCAAAGAUUUAUUCCUCUAAGGCCUCCAAAGUAAUGCUGACAGCUAUAUUUGUAGCAAUUCUAUUGCUUAUGUUCUCUAUGGCCACUACUGCAAUUCUACAGGACACAACAAUAGGAGUUCAGUAGGGUGAGUAGAAAAUUAUCAUAUGGAGUGUUCUAUUUUUAUUUCUCAAUGCCAAGAUACUUUUGCUUUUUGCUAUCAACUUUGCAUGCCUUUUGCCUUCUUCAUUUCUGUGAUUGUGUGUGAACUUUGUUCAGUUUCUAUGAGUUGGGGGUUUUAUUGAAUUCCAUCCAUGGAAUUGGUAACUGAGAAAUCUUCAAACAGAAGGGUCUACUCAUCUGUGUUCCUGACCGCCUAUCAUUUUUGUGUUGCAGGACGGAAGGCUCUAGGUUUAUCUGUUCAUGUUGAUUAUGAAGACCAGUAUGAUGCAGGAAGGGGAGGAUACGGCUCAACAAGUCCAUAAUCGUGGGAUUGAGUUCCCAAGAGCUGUUUUCGGGAAGGUUGCCAAAUAAAUCUAAGAAUUUCUGUGUUUCUGAGUGAUAAUAUAUGGUUCAUGUAUGUUAUUUUACAAAGCAUUUGUACCUUAAAGAAGCACAGAAAGUUGGUGUUAGUCUCUAUAGUGUUGUGAAUUUAUUUUUCCUGCAGUUGUGUUGAAAUUAUAAAUGAAGAGCUUUUCUCCCAGUUCCAUAGUAAUUCUCUUUAGUACUCUACAGAGGAGUCCUACCCAAAUCCCACACCAAAUUGUUAGUUUACAAAAGUCUAUUACCCAUGGAAAAGCUGGGAGUUCUUCAUCCCACACCAUAUUGCAUUUGAUACAGAUUGCAAUAAUUUUAUGAACAUUAUUGGGAGAACCUUAAUUUAAUUUAAUUUUUUAUUUUAUUGCUGUACAUAUGCAAAAAUCCCACACAUUCUGUGUUCAACCAAAUCACAUUGUUAUGUGGAACCAAAAAACCGCUGUCGUUUAACUCCACGGAGAAAGUGUAAGUACUGCAACUGCUGAUAAGUGAUGAUGGCAUCUGCCAUUGAUGCAAAUCUGUUUUCUUGUCACUUCUUCAGUUUUCUUGUCCACCAAAAGAGGAUUGAAAGUAUUUUAUGUCCUUAGUUUCUUCCUUUUAGGAUCAGCUGAUCCAAUUCUCUUGCGUCGGUUUCUCAAUUGUGAGAGCCAGAGGUUUUAGAGGUUUCGAGUCUUUUGACAUGAUGAAAAUGACCCACAAGUCCUGUAGGGGUUUUCAACUGAGGAGCAGGAUUUAAAUUUCAAUGACGUGUAGAAAAAGAAAAUUUUGUUUCUUUCUGCAACCAGCAACCCAACUAAAAGAAAGCAGGUUCAGUCAACUUUAUUAUGAAUGGAGCCUGUAUUACAAAAGAAAGUGAAGCGUUAAGACAAAUAUUGAGACCCAUUUAAUUCUGCUGCUUGGCGUUUUCAGAGUGAUUUUGUUGGUAAUUUGCUGGAUUUUGUGGCGCUUUCUCAAGGGUAGGUGUGAUUUUUUGGUUUCUGAAGGAGAGAGACAGAGGGAUAUCAUAAAACAACGUGGCUAAAACUUCUCUCUUUCUCACAAUAAGUUUAGGCGUUUAGGGUUUUUGCCUCUAAUUGGCAGCAGCAUGGAGCUGUGCGGGAGAUGGACAAAUAUGAGAAAAAAUCUAACCCACCUGCAUGGAAGCCAUUUUUGAGCGUCUGAGCUCUCCUUUUUUAUCAAUUGGAUGCUGUUUAUGUAGGGCUUAACCAAUCCAAGUUGAAGCCCUAGCUCAAACCCUGAUGGAGCUAAUUAGUCUUAUGUCCGGAAAGAGCUUACUUGUUUUACUUGAGCCUUGAAAAAGUUCAGCAGAUGGAGAGUUACAUUUUCCUAAUCCUACGUUUGCUAGUUAUAAUUACAAUUCCCCAUCUCUCCUUGUAAAUUCUCAGUUUAUAACAAUAUUAGCUAUCUCAUCCUAAGCCCAAAACAGCUUGCUCUAAAUCUCUAAUGCCUUCUAAUUCAUGGUAACGGAUGCUUUGCUUUGCUUCGGUAUGUCAACUUUACACAAACAAAAAUAACAUUCCAAUUGGAAUGUGUUCGAUUAGUUAUGCAUUUAACUACAUGCACUUGUACUUUGCAGGAGAAAUCGAGGGCUUUCCAUGCAUUAAUUGAAUAAGGCUAGUGACUAGUCUAAUGAGUAUCCAAUGGAUGAGUCAUAAGAAAAGAGGAAAGAGAUAUUUUCCUGGUUACUGGAUGAGGCAGAGGCUGAAUCUUUACGCUUUACUUGAUGCCUGAGAAAGAUUCUAUGGAAAUCAUUUCUUGAAAAUAUUACAGUAAGGGGGUUGUAUGUUUCUUCCUCUUGAAAUUUUGAUGAAUAAUUUCCUCUUGGUUUUGAAGUUGUGGUUUCCUACAUUGGUGGAUGUCAUUGGCAUUAUCUGACUCUGUUUAUCUAUAUUUCUUUUAUUCUUUGCAUUUAUUUUUCUGGCCCCUUUCCUUUUCUUGUUUAUGUCACAUUUUCUGUUGAUUAUCUUUUAGAAUGCUAUGUUUAUACAAAUAACAGUGUGGCUUAGAACUGUUGUAUGUUUGCAGUCUAUUGCUCAAACCGUCUGUCUGAAUACAAUGGUUGAGCAAUAACCUAAUAAUUGAAAGUUGUGAAGAACUCCCAUAUUGCUUUUGUGUGAAUCCCAUGGUUGAUGUUUUUUUUUUUUUCAUCGUUUUGGAAGGGGUCUGAUAUAUUUUUUUUCAAUAGGGUAAGUGUGAGGCAUACUUUCUGACCCCAACCAGAUCCAUCAUUUUGAUUUAAGAAUUUUGCAUUUGUAGAUAUACCAAGAUGCUUUUGUUUUGCUGUUAACACAUUUCCAAACAAUUCAGAUAAAGUGUACCAAGAAACAUCAUCAAUAGAAAUAUCCAUAUUUUCAGUCUACAGAUUAGGAACUUGCAAUAAUAUAGCUCAUAAAUCCAGUAGAAAAGCUUUAAUAUCAUGCAACUUUGUCAAUGCUUCUCUCAUGGUUGAACGAUCUGUGGUUGAAUGAGCAGCACACGACAAACCAACAUGUAUUAUGGCAGUAAUACACUCUUCAGUUUUGAUUUUCCAAUGGGACAAAGUAUUGCUGCUAGUACCGAUGCUGUUAAUGCAACCAGAAGAACUAGUGAAGAUGCUAUAGUCUAUACAAGCAUCAUCGUUAAAAAGCCGUUUGUCAGCCAUAUCUAAAAAUUGAUUUAUGAGCAGUGCAGAUGCCAACUUAUUCUGAUUUAAACCUUCCUGAAACAUGUCAUCAGUGGGUUUCUUUGCUGUGAAUAUCUCAAGCAGCAAAAUUCCAAAGCUGUAGACAUCCCUACUUGUUGAAAUUCUGCUACCUAAACUACACUCUACAACAAAAUAACAGCACAUUAGAGUAAUGGACACCCGCACUCAAAAAAUUGUAAUACUAGUCAUAAAGGGAAAACAAUGAUUUGGACAGUUUUAGUUGUGUGUGGUACCUGGAGCAAUGUAACCAAUCGAGCCCUUUAGUCCAAUUGUGCUGCUUUCAUCCUCUGAUGGAUUCUUCCAAAGGAACCUUGCCAGUCCAAAAUCUCCCACAUGGGCUCCCAUAUUAUCAUCUAAAAGUACAUUUGCAGGUUUCAAAUCACAAUGGACAACAGGUGGAUCACAGUCAUGGUGCAGAUAAUUCAAGGCUGAAGCUACAUCUAUUGCAAUAUUUAAUCUCUGGAUCAGAGUCAACGCUAACCUAGAAUUGGUAUCUUCUGGAUACAGCCAUUUCUCCAGGCUACCAUUGGACAUGAACUCCAUAACCAAGGCCUUGAAUUCAACCCUCCUUUUGUCAAUGCUUGAGCAUGAAGUGAUAACCUUCACAAGGUUUCGAUGCUGAAUGUUCCUCAACACUUCACAUUCUGUAUUGAAAUUCUCAGAUGCUUCACCUUGUUGUAAGUCGAUAACCUUCACUGCAAAUAUGGUGUUGACCCCAUUUUCACCAGUUCUGAAAACUCCUUUAUAUACAGAUCCAAAGCCUCCCUUUCCUACCAAAUUUUCUGCGGAGAAAUCAUUUGUAGCAUGCUGGAUGUCAGAGUAUGAUAUCUUUGGCAGCAACGCCUUGAAACAAGGAGAUGGAAAAGUUGUUCCUCUCCUCUUUUUCUUGUUUUGGGAGAUCAGCAUCCAUGUGAUGCAGGCUGCACACAUUAACAGAGUCAAGCUGGCAACUGGAAUCACAAUCUUGAGUAUCAAAUGCCUAUUUGACUUCACUUUUGUGAUACAUAUGGGGAUUCUCAUCUUUCCUGCAGCCUCAGGGUCACUACCACAGAGCUUAUUAUUUCCUGUAAGAGAAAGCCAGGUAAGGUUCAUGAAAACACCUUUUCUUGGAACUGGUCCUCCCAAGUCAUUGAAAGACAAAUUUAAGAUCUGCAAAUACAAAAGAUCCUGUAACUCUUCGGGGAUUUGUCCAGUCAGACUGUUGGAAGAAAGAUCCAUGCUCUCUAAUGCUAUUAAUUUACCCAUCGACACUGGUAUGGCCCCUGAGAGUUUGUUUGUGGCAAUAUUAAAACUACGCAGACUUAAGCAAGAACCAAUUGUCGUUGAAAUAUUUCCUGACAGCUGGUUAUUAGAAGCAUCCAGGACCUCAAGGUGUUCCAAACUUUCAACUAGGGCGGGCAGAGAACCACUUAGUUCAUUAUGCGCCAAAUAUAUCUCGAUUAUAUCAAGAAGUCUGAAAAUCUCCUUGGGUAUGCUACCAUUGACCCUGUUCUGUCUUAGACCCAGUCUCUUUAAAUUCUUGCACUCUCCAAUACUUGUGGGGAUUCUACCAGAGAACUGGUUGUACCCCAUUGUCAGCAAAAAGAGUCGUGUAAGAUUGCCAAAGUUAUCUGGAAUUUCUCCGGAUAACAUAUUAUUAUCAACCAAUAAUCUCUGUAGUUGCUGAAGUUUUCCUAGGGAAUUUGGUAUCAUACCUGUGAAAAGAUUUUGGUGUAUGUCCAAGGCCCAGAGAUUUUGAAAUCUUUCAAAUCCUUGGGGAAUUCUACCAGUCAGAAAAUUGCUGCCAAUGCAAAAUUCAAGGAGAUGAGUAGAAAGAUUCGCAACUGAAGUUGGAAGUUCACCAGCUAGCUGGUUAUCAUUAAGAUAUAGAAACUCCAACUGUGUAGAGUUUGCUAGUGAAUUAAAUACCUGAAGAUUAAGCUUGGUGGUGGAAGAGAGAUUAUUCAGGCCAAGAUGUAGGAGUCUAAGAUUAUUCAUGUUACCAAGUAGAGGAACUGGCCCUUGAAAGUGGUUUGAAGAAAAGUCUAGGACUUGAAUUUGUGAAGCAUUAGAGAAAGAACUGGGAAUUGGCCCUUCCAGCUGGUUAUGUGCUAGGUAGACUUCUGCCAGGUUUGGAAGUGCAAGGCCCAUAUCAGUUGGUAGUUCUCCAACAAGCAUAUUUUCUGCUACAGAUAAGUAGAUCAAAGAAGAGAUGUUGUAGAUGGAAUAAGGGAUCUUUCCCUCAAACUGAUUCUCUGAGAGCUGAAGUCUUUGAAGAUUAUGGAGAUGACCCAGCUCAUUUGGGAUUUUGGCGAAGAAUUGGUUUCUUGCUAGGCUGAGAACAGUAAGAGAGGUGAGGUUUCCAAAUUUUGGAGCGAUUACACCUGUAAGGUUAUUCGCUGCAACGUCAAGAAUUCUGAGUCUCGGCAGAUCUCCAAGUUCAGAUGGAAGGUUCCCAAUAAGUUGGUUGUGCUCAAAAUAAAUCUCCUCAAGGUUAUAACAAUGAGAAAGACCAACUGGAAUUCUACCAUUAAUGGAGUUUCUUGCAAGGUUAAUAUUCUGAAGGAGUGACAGAUGGCUAAAAUCCAGUUGAAGUUGGCCAUAAAAUGAAUUGUUGGAAAGAUCUAGCAAUUGGAGGGAAGUGAGGUUAGAGAGUCGAGGGUGUAUCAUACCAGAGAGCCCAUAACCAGCAAGACGAAGUGACAGAACUCUAGUUCCGUUGUUGGCACAAGUGACGCCAAACCAAGUGCAGUGAGAUGAAUUCAGGCUCCACCCAGAAAGAACAUUUUGGGAGUCAGAGACUAUGGACUUGAAAGAUAGAAGUGCGAGAGUAUCUGUAUCUGUAUCAGCAUCAAUAGCCCCUACCCUGUUCGUGCUGCAAUAUGGAAUAAUUUGAAAGGGGAGGAGGACAACCAAUGAGAAAUAGAGAUGUUUCUUCAUUUUUGAAAGAAUGGUCAUUGAAUUCAAGAUUUGCAGUCUAUAUUUUAGCUGCCAGCACAUGUUAAGGCCUGAUGUGUGUAGGAGGAUAACCAUUGAAAAGUUGAAUUCAAUUAUCAAACAAGGGCAAAUUAUUUAUUAAUCAGCCCCUGUUAAGAGCAAUGUAACUUCCUCCUAACCAUGUCUCCUGACAAGAUAUGAAAAUGACCUUAAAUUUAUAUAAUUAUUUUCCAGACCUAGCUUCUGUCUUAUUCUUCAUCCUCAGAUUCCAUAAUGAGGGAAAUGCCAUUUUUCUGUAUUAAGUAUCAAGAGGGAGAGUCGAGUUAGCAGCAGUGGAUGGCUGAAAUCAUUUGAUCAAUUCUGAUUUCUGCAAAAGAAACAGAAAUCUGUUGAUUAAUUGGUCGAUUGUGCUCCCUUUUCUCUUACUAUGCAGGGUAUACUAGAGAACAAUGACCUCUGGUGCAUAGUUUACCCUUUCAGAUAUUGUUAGGAGGAAGAUACCACUGCAACUAGUAUAGAAAGAGGGUGACAAGCUAGACUGAUAGUCCUUUGACUUUUUUGUUAGAAUGCCUGAGAAAUGUUAUAAAAAAGCAUGUUAUAAUAAUCCCAAAUGCUGUCAAAGAAAAACAAAUCUGAAAGUUUCUAGCUGGAUUGAAUAGUCGAUGGAUUCAUAUCAAUGGCAUUAUUUCUUAAAAUUUUUCCAAGGAGAAUGUACUUGAUCCAAGUGCUAUACGAAGAAUAAAUUUAGCUUUUAAUUUCUAUAAGACUACUAAUUUGAGAUCUGUCGAAAAUAGCUGUCUGCCUAAAUGGAUUGAUCUCAAGACAAAACAAUUAAUCCUUUUCAACAGUUGACUGUGAUCCCUCCUCCCCUUGGUUGCCAUCUCAUUUUCUUGCCAACAUUUCUCUCUCUAUUGUUCAACUUCUAAGUCAGUAAGAGGCAGAGAGAAGUAGGUAUGAAUUCUCUCUAUUCUAGACAUUUAUUUGAUUGUCUCCCACAUUUGGGAUUUGUCUUCCAUUCUGACGAUGUUCAUGACUCUUCAUUUAUGGAUUUGAGCCUUUUCGAGUAUCUGCCUGUCUCUUAUUAUAUCACUUUAUCUACACCAUCCUCACCCACAUCACAGAUAUUUGAUAUAGAUCAUGAGAUUGCACAACAUGAUUCAGAUGAUGACUUGUUUCCUAAUUAUGAUUCAGACCCCAUUGAUCAAAGAGUUUCACCUGCUAUAGAGGACACAUAGGUUGUUGAUUUUGGCAUAGCAGAUCAACCUAGGGAGUUAAGGAUCGGAUCGAAUUUAUCUGCAGAUGAGAUAGACAACCUUAUCUAGUUGCUCAUAUCGUAUUUGAACGUUUUUGCAUGGUCUUAUGAGGACAUGUCGGGCCUUGAUCCAUCUAUUGUCCAACAUUGUUUGCCACUUCUGCCCUAUGCCAGACUGGUUAAGUAGAAGUUGAGACAAUUGCACCAUUGCUGGAGCUUGCAAGUGAAAGAGGAGAUUCAGAAGCAACUCAGUGUAGGAUUUUUAUUAGUGGUUGAGUAUCCUGAGUGGCUAGCUAAUGUUGUCCUUGUUCCCAAAAAAGAUGUCAAGGUGAGAGUUUGUGUUGAUUUCCAAGAUCUCAACAAGGCUAAUCCUAAGGAUGAUUUUCCUCUCCCACAUAUCGAUAUGCUAGUUGACAGUAUGACAGGUCAUUCGAUGUUGUCCUUUAUGGAUGAAUUUUUCGGGUACAGUCAAAUCCUGAUGGCUUUAAAGGACAUGGAGAAGACGUCCUUCAUUAUCGAGUGGAGUACUUAUUGCUACCAAGUCAUGUCAUUCGGGUUGAAGAAAGCAGGAGCUAGUUAUUAGAGAGCAGCGACCACCCUCUUCCAUGACAUGAUGCAUCGAGACGUCGAGGUUUAUGUAGAUGACAUGCUAGUGAAAUCCCGAGAUAGAAUAGACCACCUAGCAGCCUUGGAGAGAUUCUUUGAGAGGAUCAGGCAGUUCAGAUUGAGACUAAAUCCCAAGAAGUGCACUUUUGGAGUGACUUCUGGGAAGCUACUAGGAUACAUGGUCAGUGAGAGAGGCAUAUAGGCAGAUCCAGAUAAGAUUAAAGCCAUCCUUGACAUGCCUGUACCAAGGAUCGAGAGAGAUAUCAGAGGCUUCUUGCGUAGACUUCAGUACAUCAGGCGAUUCAUCGCCAGAUUGACAGACAUCUAUGAACCCAUUUUCCGACUCUUGAGGAAGAGUCAACAUACUGUUUGGGAUGAUCAGUGCUAAAGCGCAUUUGAGAGGAUCAAAGAGUAUUUAUUGUCUCUUCCAGUCUUGGUGCCUCCUACACUAGGUUAUCCUUUACUCUUAUACCUGUCGGUCUUAAACGUAGCCUUGGGAUGCAUGUUAGCUCAGCUCGAUGAUUCGGGUAAGGAGUGAGCUAUUUACUAUUUGAGUAAGAGGAUGCUAGAUUACGAGAUGAGAUAUGUCAUGAUUGAGCGCUACUGCUUGGCAUUGGUUUGGGUCAUUCGCAGACCGAGACACUACAUGACCGAGUAUUCGGUACACUUGAUAUCCCGUCUAGAUCCACUGAGAUAUUUGUUUGAUAGGCUCGCUUUGGUCGGACGACUUAUGAGAUGAUUGGUACUUUUGACUGAGUUCGACAUUCAUUAUGUCACUCGAAAGUCUAUCAGAGGGAGCAUUGUUGCAGAUCAUUUAGCCUCAUUACCAGUUUCUGAUGGUAAAACCAUUGAUGAUGAUUUCCCGGAUGAGGAUGUUGCUGUUGUGACUAGUUUGUCGGGUUGGUGCAUGUAUUUUGAUGGUGCGGCCAACCAUUCUGGAUACGGGAUAGGUGUUUUUUGAUAUCUCCUCAUGGUGACCACAUUCCUAGAUUUGUUCGUUUGACAUUCUUGGAUCGACAUCCUGCCACGAACAAUAUUGUUGAGUAUGAGGCUUGUAUCUUGGGAUUAGAGACAUCUCUUGAGCUCAGGAUUAGACAGAUGGAGGUGUUUGGUGACUCCAAUAUGGUAUUGAGACAGAUUUAGGGCAAGUGGAAGACUAGAGAUGUGAAGCUUAGACCUUACCAUGCAUACUUAUAGCUACUGGUUGGGAGAUUUGAUGAUUUGAGGUACACACAUCUGCCUAGAGCGCAAAACCAGUUUUCAGAUGCCUUAGCUACACUAGCUUUCAUGAUUGAUAUUCCUACCAAGGCUACUGUUUGCCGUUUACUGAUCGAGUUGAGAUUUGUUCCUACCUACUGUUGCUUGAUUGAUGAGGCAGAGUUUGAUGAUGGCUUACCUUGGUACCAUGACAUAUACCAGUUUCUGUGACUUAGUGCAUAUCCUGAGACUGCCACAACCAAGGAUAAGAGAACAUUGAGACAAUUGGCCACUCGAUUUGUGAUUCGUGGAGAGACAUUGUACAGACGAUCAGCUGAUGAGAUGUUAUUAUUGUGCUUAGACCAUGCCUCUGCCGAUCGAGUGAUGAGAGAGGUUCAUGCGAGAGUCUGUGGACCACAUAUGAGAGGGCACAUGUUAGCCCGUAAGAUCAUGAGGAUUGGAUAUUUCUGGUUGACCAUGGAGACAGAUUGUUGCCAGUUUGUUCAGAGAUGUCCAUAGUGCCAGAUACAUGGGGACCUCAUUCAUUUACCCCCUUCAGAGUUACAUGCACUAACUUUGCCAUGACCAUUUUUAGUAUGGGGCAUAGACAUUAUUGGGGUCGUUAGUUUCAUCAAAUCACACAUUAUUUGUUGCCAUGGAGUUCCUCAUGAGUUGAUUUCAGAUAGAAGAGUACAUUUCAGAGUAGAUGUCGACACUUUAUUAUAGAGAUACGGUAUCCAGCAUUACAUAUCGUCUGCGUAUAGGUCGCAAACUAAUGAGGCUAUAGAGGCUGCGAAUAAGAAUAUUAAGAGGACCUUACGGAGGAUAGUUGAGACUUCUUGGGAUUGGUCAGAGAAGCUCCUUUUCGCAUUGUAGGCUUAUCGGACUUCUUUUCGCACCUCUAUAGGAGCCACACCCUACUCUUUAGUGUAUGGUAUUGGAGCAGCAGAUUCCAAAGGCAGAUUGGGCUCAGGCUCGAUUAGACCAACUCAAUCUCCUAGAUGAGAGGAGAUUGAGGGCAGCAGACCAUGUUCAUGCUUAUAAGAGGAAGAUGACCCGUGUAUUAAAAAAACAGGUUAAGCCUAGAUCGCUAUAGAAAGGUGACUUGGUUCUAGAGAUCAUCAGGGGAUUGAUCAGAGAUCCUAGAGGAAAGUUCAGACUCAAUUGGAGCGGACCUUACUUCAUUAGGAAGUUGACCCUAGAGGGCGCUGCAUGGUUGAUGGAUUUAGAUGGAAACCGAUUCUCGGAGCCAACUAACGUAGAUCAGUUGAAGAAAUAUUAUGUUUGAGACCAUGGUCAUAGGAUGGGUAACCAUCAUUUCGGUUAGCCAUAUACCUUGUUAUUCUCUUUUGAUAUACAGACCGUUGUUAGCCCAUUGAGCCUCGCAUGUGCAUUAUAAUCUUUCUUUCUUAUUGGCUUGCUCACUUUUUUUUUUUUUUUUUUUGCGUCAGGAUAGGGGCCCUUUAGUGUAGGCAUGCAUUGUUUGAGAGUCUCAUGAGUCUUGGACCUACAGGUGCAUCUUUCUCUCAUUAUUUUUCCUACCAUCACUUUACUGCAUUCCAUCUUAUCUCAUUGGUUGUGUCCUUCAUCUCUUCUUUUUUAUUCUAUCCAUUGCUUGUUUUUCUUCAUAUUCUCUCCACCUUGAGUGGUGAUCUUCCUCAAUUCAUUACAUGGAGGAUAGUCACAUCAUUUCCACUAUCUAUCAUACAGACACUAAUUUAGAGAUCCUUAAUUUGAGAAGAUCAUCUCGUUAGAGAGAGUUUUUGUUGCACUCGAGAGUGUGUCUAUCCUUUAUUGAUAUCAUCUUUGGGGUUCAUUUGUUUAUGUUCAGGGUAUGUGCAUUUGUAUGUAUGUAAAAAAAGAAAAAAGAAAAGAAAAAUAAGCACAUGUGUGUAUGUGUAUAGUAUUCUCCAUCAUUGAGCGUGUAUAUUGAUAUCUGAGGGUCAUUUUAUCGAGUAUGUUUGUUGUUGAGAGUUUGUAUGUGAGCUUUCUGAGAUCAUCUUUUCUUUGCAUCCACUUUGUCAUAUUUCUUUGAGAGUGAGAUGAGUAACCUUCUCCUAGGGACUCUAGGUCAUUGUCAUUUCCAUCAUUACAUUCAUUAUUGAUGUGACUUCACUCCAUGUUUGAUUUGAGUUGAUCAUCACUUUUAUUCGUAUAUUCAUUGUUUCGCUCUCAUCUUCAUCAUUGCUUGUGAUUCAUCCUCUUCGCUUCACCCCCUUGUUCUUUUCCUACACUGACUUAUUCCAGAUUUGAUAUUUCCCUGGCAUCAUUCUUGCGCAUCUCAUUAUCAGUUUGAUUUGCUUCAUCGUCUCAUUAUUGAUAUUAUAUUCACGUUAGGCACCUUCAAGUUCAUGGCUCACGAGAUUUUCUAUACAUGUUGCAUUUCAUACAUGAGGGCAUGAGUUUUGAUCAUUGGGUAUUUGGGCCUAGUUUCCUUUCUUUUCUAUUACCCUAUCACCCUAGCCUAUGUUACGUCCCAUGUCUUAAGACCACCCUGAGGCCAUGGGAUCAGAUGUCAUCUUCAACAACCCCUACUUGGACAGGUGUUUGAGAUUUGGUUGAUAUUUAGAUAUAGUCAUGCUUCUUCUUCUGAGAAAAGCCUCUUUGAUGUUUGGAUCUAAUUUAGCUAUGGAUUUGGAUGAUUGGGAUCACACAUUUGAUGAUGGAUGAUUUGAUGUUUUCCUAUUUUUUUGAUUUGCCAUACAUCUGAUAUCAUACUUGGGCAUAUUCCAUUACGAUUGAGAUUUAUAGAUCUUCAUGGAGUUGCAUGCUUAUCCCCACUUACGAGAUACACAUUGAGACGAUGACCUAUUUGUUAUCUUAUCAUGAUUCUUUGGUGGAGCCUCUUUAAGUCAAACCCACACUUUUCGGCCUUUAGAUGUCAUCGUACUUCUUCUUCUAGAACACGCCUUAUUUGAUCAUUGGAUUCAAUUCAGCUAUGGAUUUGGAUAAUUGGGAUUGCAUAUUAUGAUGGAUGACCCGAUGUUGUCUGAUUUUUUGAUCUACCAUACAUUUGAUGCCAUAUUAGGGCAUAUUUCAGUUUCGAUUGAGAUUUACAAAUCUUUAUGGAGUUGCAUACUUAUCCCCAUUUACGAGAUACAUGCCGAGACGAUGACCUGCUUGUUAUUUUAUCAUGAUUCCCCAGUGGAGUCUUUCUUAGACCAUUCAAUUAGGCUCACACUUUUCAGUAUUUAGAUAUUAUCAUGCUUCUUCUUUUAGAAGACAUCUUCUUGAUGUUUAGGUUUAAUUCAAUUGUGGAUUUGGGUGACAGAGAUCACACAUUGAUGAUGGAUGAUUUGAUGUUGUCCGAUUUUCGGCUUAUUCCACAUCUGAUUCCAUACUAGGGCAUAUUUCCAUUUCGAUUGAGAUUUACAGAUCUUCAUGGAGUCACAUGAUCAUCCCCACCUACGAGAUACACGUCAAGACGAUGACCUAUUUGUUAUCUUAUCAUGAUCCCCCAAUGGAGCCUCUCUGGAGCCAUCUAAUCAGACCCAUAUUUUUCGGCAUUUGGUUGUCAUCAUGUUUCUCCUUCUGGGGUACACCUUUUGAUAUGUGGGUCCGAUUCAGUUAUGGACGUAGAUGACUAGGAUUGCAUAUUCGAUGGUGGAUGAUUUGAUAUCAUCUGGUUUUCCGACCUAUCACACAUUUGAUGCCAUAUUGGGGCAUAUUUCCGUUUUGGUUGAGAUUUGUAGAUCUUCAUUGAUUUGCAUGAUCGUCCCUAGUCACGAGAUACAUGCCAGGACGAUGGUUUGCUUUCAUUUUGUCUUGAUUCUCCAAUGAAGCCUUUCUUGAGUCAUUCAAUCAGGCUCAUAUUUUCUUAUAUUGUCAUGAUUCUUAGAUGGAGUUAUCUUAAGUGCAUAGACUCCCACGUCAUCAUUUCGGUGGAGUACAUGUCAGAUCUCUUAUACAUCCCCCAUUGAGUUAUUCUCGAGUUAUCAGGAUAGACCGGAUGCCUUAGUCACUAUACUGGGGCAUAUUUCUUUUCUUUUUUUUAGCCGUGGAGAUGAUUGUUUUCUCACAGACUUGUUACGGUCUUCAUCACUCGACCGAGGAAUAUUUAUUUGCGUUACUGCUCAUUGUUUCAAUGUUUUUGUCGAGAUAAGCCUCCAAAGGAGCACAACCUUCAGGUUUUGGCUGUCUCACUAUCCAUGACUCUUUCAUAGGUUGUUAUGUUGAGGUCGCAGUAGUUACCCCAGCGGACUAUCCUCUUGAGACCCCUAGUGGAUCAUUAAUUUAAGAUGACGAUGGACUCCUCCAACAGAACAUUUUAAGUUAGAGGUGCUUGACUUAUUGUGACACAUUAUCAGGCCUCGUGAUUUAGUUGGAUGGAUUGUGAGGUCGUACUUAUCAUCGAUUUGAUCAUUCUGACUCGCUAGCGAUCUUUUAAGACUCAUGGAGUCUUUUUCAAACCCUUUCAUUAAAUUAAGAGUUGUGGCGGCACGCUACAUUGAAACAUAUUUCUCUUCUCAUCAUUUCCUUGCAAUUCGGCAUUCAGAGCCGCCAUCUCUUCUCGGUUAUGACGUUCAGAGUCGUCUUUCUCAAUUUGACAUUCAGAGAUGUCAGUUCUCAGGUUUGACGUUUAGAGCCUUCAUCAUUUCCAGUUCAGUGUUCAAAGUUAUGUUUUCGGUUUGGCGUUCAGAGUCGCAUAUCCAGUUUGGCGUUUAAAGCCACCAUCUCUUCUCAGUUACAACGUUCAGAGUCGUCUUUCUCAAAUUGACAUUCAGAGACAUCAAUUCUUAGUUACGGCGUUCAGAGCCUUCAUCAUUCUUAGUUCGGCAUUUAGAACCAUGUUUUCGAUUUGGUGUUCAAAGCCACCAUCUCUUCUUAGUUACGACGUUCAGAGUCGUCCUUCUCAGUUUGACAUUCAGAGAUGUCGGUUCUCAGUUACGGUAUUCAGAGCCUUCAUCAUUCUCAAUUCGACAUUCAGAGCCAUAUUUUCGGUUUAGCGUUCAGAGUCGCAUCUCCAGUUUGGAGUUCAGAGCCACCAUCUCUUCACAAUUACGACAUUCAGGGUCGUAUUUCUCAGUUUGACAUUCAGAGACAUCAUUCUCAGUUACGGAUUUCAGAGCCUUCAUCCUUCUCAACUUGGCGUUCAAAGCCAUGUUUUUUAUGUGGUGUUCAAAGCUGCAUCUCCAGUUUAACAUUCAGAGCCGCAUCUCUAGUUUGGCGUUCAGAGCCAUCUCUUCUCAGUUACAAUGUUCAGAAUCGUCCUUCUCAGUUUGACAUUCAGAGAUGUCAGUUCUCAGUUAUGGUGUUCAGAGCCUUCAUCCUUCUCAGUUUGGUGUUCAGAGCCAUGUUUUCAGUUUAGCGUUCAGAGCCGCAUCUCCAGUUUGACGUUCAGAGCCGUAUCUCCAAUUUGGUGUUCAAAGCCACCAUCUUUUCUCAGUUAUGAUGUUCAGAGUCGUCAUUCUCAAUUUAACAUUCAGAGAUGUUAGUUCUCAGUUACGACGUUCAGAGCCUUCAUCCUUCUCAGUUCGACGUUCAGAGCCGCAUCUCCAAUUUGACGUUUAGAGCCACAUUUCCAAUUUGGCGUUCAAAGCCACCAUUUCUUCUCAGUUAUGACGUUCAAAGUCGUCCUUCUUAGUUUGACAUUCAAAGAUGUUAGUUCUCAAUUACGACAUUUAGAGCCUUCAUCCUUCUCAGUUUGGCAUUCAGAGCCAUGUUUUCGAUUUGGAGUUUAGAGCCAGAUCUCCAGUUUGACGUUCAAAGCCGUAUCUCUAAUUUGGCAUUCAAAGCCUUCACCUUCUUCAGUUUGGCGUUUAGAGCCAUCAUAUCUUCUUGGUUACGACGUUCAAAGUCGUCCUUUUCAGUUUGACAUUCAGAUAUGUCAGUUCUUAGGUUUGGCAUUUAGAGCUUUCAUCCUUCUCAGUUUUGCAUCCAAAGCCAUGUUUUCGGUUUACCGUUCAGAGCUGCAUCUCCAAUUUGGUGUUCAGAGCCACCAUUUCUUUUCAGUUAUGACAUUCAAAGUUGUUCUUCUUAGUUUGAUGUCCAAAGAUGUCAGUUCUCAGUUACGGCGUUCAGAGCCUUCAUCUUUCUCAAUUCGGCGUUCAGAACCAUGUUUUCGAUUUGGUGUUCAGAGCCGCAUCUCCAGUUUAGCGUUCAGAGCCACUAUCUCUUUCUAGUUUGAUGUUUAGAGCUACCAUCUCCACCAUAUCUCUCAUAGUUUGGCAUUUAGAGCCACAUUUUUAGUUUGGCAUUCAGAGCCAUUGUUUAUUCCUAGUUCAGCAUUCAAGGUCAUCAUGUCUUUCUUCCUAUUGGAGUUCAGAGCCAUCAUUUAUUCCAGUUUAGGCAUUUAGAGUCAUCUCUCCUAGUUUAGGAGAGUCGUUCGUUUUAGUUUUGGCGUUCAGAGCCGUUGUGCAAUCAAGCAUUUGGAGUCACCAUAUUUCCUUCUUUUGGUGUUCAAAGUCAUUUUUCCUCAGCCUUGUCAUCUAUAGUCAUGGCUCCUGGCAUUCAUAUUCACUAGCAUUGCACAUCUUGCCUUCACAAUUUUACAUUCGUCUUCAUUUUCCUCACCUCGUUUCCUUGUGUUUAUUGCUUGUUCAUCAUGCUCUUCUAGACUUCUCUUUCCACUGCACAUGACAUAGUCCUUUGAGUUCAUGGCACAUAUUUCGGUCAUGUUGCUAGGCCCCCUACACUUAACGUUCUCAUGUAGUUCGCAUAGGGCAGUCCCCUUUGGACGCAUUCUUUCCUAUACCCCAAGGUGGUUUGACCGUUACUCAUAUCUGACAUUGAUCUUCGAGUCACUUCUGGAGACAUCUUAGAGAAAGUCUAGGUUCAUAGUGCAACUUUAGAGGCACUCUGAGAGCUACCCUUCUCUUAGGAUUUUAGACCAUUUUUGUUCCUUUAUUGGUUUGAGCGAGUUUGUGUUCUACUUGUGCCAUAUUAGGGGUCUUUCUUUUUCUUUGGUAGAGUCCACUUCAUUUCAUUCACUAUUUACACUUUUUUUUUUCACUCUAGUGUUCAUAUUUCUUACACUCGUGAACUUUAUUGAAGAGGGGCAUAUUUUUAGACCUUUUUUUUUAAACUAAAGUUUUUUUUUUCUCUUUUUAUUUUUUACCACCCGGGAGGAGUUGGAGAGCAUUUCAUUUGAAGUGGGGGACAGUUUCCAUGAAGCUCCAUGCAUGGACGUGUGGCUGGGACCACCACCUUGCCAUGGUGGUGGUUGAGAUGGGACUUCUUUUGAGCAAGGAGCAGUGGUACGGGUGGGGUUGGUAGAAGCUUGAGAGGAAGGAAAACAGGAGAAAAUUUGGAGGCAACUUGAGAAAAAUGGAGGAAUGAGAAGGGAAGCUUGAGGAAAAAAAAUGAGUAGAGACCGUUUUGGCUUGAGAAUGAGAACCAACUGAGAAUAAAGUGAGAGAGAACGGGGUUAAAAAAAAAGGGGAGAGGGGGGGGGGGGGGGGGGGGGGGUUAAAGACCCCGGUAAGACCGUUUUUUUUUUUAAAGGGGCCAAAAAAAAAGUUGCCCUGGGCCUGGGGAAAGGGGCCCCCGAAAAAAAAAAAAGGGGCGGGGGCCCUAACCCCAAAUUUCCCUUUUAAAGGGAAAACCUCCCGGGAGGGCCCUCUUGGGUUCCCUUUUUUUUUUUUUUUUUUUUCCGGUGGGCCCCCCCCCCUUUUUUGGGAUUCCCCCCUUGGCGGGGGGGGCCCGAGGGGGGGGUAAUAUUGGGUUAAAAAUUUCCUUUCUUUUUUUUUCCCAAAAAAAAAAACCCNNNNNNNNNNNNNNNNNNNNNNNNNNNNNNNNNNNNNNNNNNNNNNNNNNNNNNNNNNNNNNNNNNNNNNNNNNNNNNNNNNNNNNNNNNNNNNNNNNNNGGGGGGGGGGGAGGUUAAGGAACCAUGAGAGAGCUGAGUUUAAUUUAAAGGAGACAAAAAGAGAGUUGCAAUGGAGCUGGAGAGAUGGCGCACGGAAACAAGAAGAAGGAGCAGUGAGCUGAAGCCUAAAAUUCCUUGUUAGAGGGAAGAUCUUCAGGUAUGGCCAUUAUGGGUUUCCUUUUUUUGUUUUUUAUUUUUCAUGUUGAUCCUGCUUCAUUCUUUGUGAUUUCCACAUUGCUUGUUGGGUUCGUAUGGUUUGGUUAUUAUUGGUUUAAUAUUUCAUUUUCUUUUUUAUUCCAAUAAAGAGAUACCUGAAUGUGCUUCAAUUUGUCGUUUCAUUUGUAAGGAGCUUGCUGCUUUAUUCUGAAAACCUUUUCCAUAGCUCAAUCCACUAAUUGUUAAACCUAUGGAUAAAAUAACAAAAUGGGUUCAACAUAUUGGUUAAGUGUUUUAUGCUUUAUUCUUGCUUCUCCUCUCAUGCUCCUCUGUUUUCCUAUGAAUGUGCGCCCCAAACCUUAGAAUCCAUAUAUCCUUGAAGGUCUCUGGCAAAUCAACUGAAAAUGAAAACACAAAAAAAAAAUUAGAAUUUUUCGAAAUGUUUAUGCAUUGUUUUUUUAAAAAAAAAUUAUUUUGGGGCGUCGAGUAUGCACGGAUCUGGAGCUGUGAUGGCUUGGAACGUUCUACACAACCUUAAGGAGCCUUGGCCCGAUCAUGAUCCUCUUGAUCCUUUGACAAGGUUAGAUUUUGGUGUUUCACCAGUUGAUGCUUCAAAACAGAGGGUUUGGUGUUGUAAAAAAUGCAGCUAGAUGAAACUACCUCGCUGCCACCAGCGUUCUGUUUAUGGGAGAUGUAUUGAAGAUGGACCAUCAUUGUUUUUGGGUUGUGAAUUGUGUUGGGGCUUUGAACGACAAAUAUUUCCUUCUUUUCUUGUUUUACACGUCUCUUGAAACAAGCCUUGUGACUUCAUCAUUACUACCACAUUUUAUAGCUAUCAUUAUUACCACAUUUUAUAGCCAUCAUUACUACCACAUUUUAUAGCAUUCUUUAUUGAGGGAGAAAUACCUGGAACACCUUGCACCUCGGGCCUCGCUUUUACAUGGCUACCCUCAUGUACCACUAACAAAACCUACCUGCUAGCAAAUCUCAUAUUUUUUAAUUCUUCAAUAUCAAAGUUUAAUUUAUUUUUUUUAAACGCCAAUUCUUAAAUUUAAAUUUCAAAAUUCCAAUUCUCAAAUAAUUUUAAAAAUUUCAAUUUCUUUCAAAUUUAAUUUCCGAAACGCCAAUUCUUAAAUUUAAUUUUCAAAAUUUCAAUUCUCAAAUAAUUUUCAAAAUUCCAAUUUCUUUCAAAUUUAAUUUCUGAAACUCCAAUUCUUAAAUUUAAUUUUCAAAACUCUAAUUCUCAAAUAAUUUUCAAAAUUCCAAUUUUCAAAUUUAAUUUCCGAAACUCCAAUUCUUACAUUUAAUUUUCAAAACUCCAAUUCUCAAAUAAUUUUUAUUAUUCUAAUUUCUUUCAAAUUUAAUUUUCGAAACUCCAAUUCUUACAUUUAAUUUUCAAAACUCAAAUUCUCAAAUAAUUUUCAAAAUUCCAAUUUCUUUCAAAUUUAAUUUCCGAAACUCCAAUUCUUAGAUUUAAUUUUCAAAAUUUCAAUUAUUAAAUGAUUUUCAAAAUUUCAAUUUGUUUCAAAUUUAAUUUUUGAAACUUCAAUUCUUAAAUUUAAUUUUCAAAAUUUCAAUUCUCAAAUAAUUUUCAAAAUUCUAAUUUCUUUCAAAUUUAAUUUCCGAAACUCCAAUUCUUAAAUUUAAUUUUCAAAAUUUCAAUUCUCAAAUAAUUUUCAAAAUUUCAAUUUUUUUUCAAAUUUAAUUUCCAAAACUCCAAUUCUUAAAUAUAAUUUUCAAAACUCCAAUUCUCAAAUAAUUUUCAAAAUUCCAAUUUCUUUCAAAUUUAAUUUUCAAAAUUCUAAUUUCUUUCAAAUUUAAUUUCCAAAAUUCUAAUUCUUAAAUAUAAUUUUCAAGACUCCAAUUUUUAAAUAAUUUUCUAGACUUCAAUUUUCAAAUAGAUUUAAAAAAUCUAGUUUUCUUUCGAGCCAUUUUAAUUUCACUCCAGUUUUCAAAUAUAUUUUUUUUAUUCUACAACUCUCCAUCCUUUAUUAGGGUUUUUUUUUAGGUCGUCAAAAAUUCUGAUUUUAAUAAGUUUGCUACCAUUUUCAUUUUGGUAUGCACUUGUACAAAUUUUCUUCGAUUUUCAAAUAAUCUUCUGUUUAUCUUAAUUUUAAAUAAGCAAGAAUGAAUUUUUCCUAAUUCCAAAAUAAUGGAAUUUGUGAGACUAAUUCAUGCAAGAUAAAUUGGGCUUUGGUGGGAGCCCCACAUAUGAGUUUUCUCUUCUGAUUGUCAAUUGUUAUACUUAAUGAAUAUUGUUUGAUCUUUAUCUUGCUCUUUGAUAUGCAUGUGAUAAUUUUAUAAUUGAGCUAACCUUGUUUCCAUGAUAACGCACUAUUACUUGUCGCUAAGGUACAAUCUCACUCUCACUUUGCUUAUUCUUAUGCACGAUUCAUUUUAUUAUUUGAUCAUUUCAUUGGUAUCCAUUACUUUCCUUAUCAAUUGCCAUAUUUGUCUCACCUUAUUUAAUAGAGACCCAUUUUUAAGGGCUUAGAGGGGUGCUACGGUCUUUACCAUACCUUCCCAAUAAGUAACCUGACCCCCGAACCCAGACUCGGUUUUUCAUAAACUUGUCUUUUCCAAAUAAGGAGUCACACUUAGAGUUUUCUUUUUUAUUUUGUUUUCCCUUAAAAAAAUAAAACAAAAAUAAGUGGUGAAUCCAAGUUUUUUCUAAAAAUCAAAAUUUUCACAAAUAAAUAGAAAACGAGUUUCACCAUUGAGUAGGAACGCAUCGAGAAAAAUGCGGGGUCCAUAAGAGGUUUCACCAAUUCCCCAGUUGGUAUACACAAAUCUAGCUUAGGAUCAUCCCAUUUAUUUGGGACCACAAGCUUUGAUUCGUAUUCCAUUCGAAAUCGGAAUUUUUAUUGAAAACCGAGAAAGAUGCAAACUGAUCAAAACAUGGUCUCAUAUUUUUAAAGAAAAUGAGAUUUUGAUUCUAAAGACUCUAAAUGAAAUUUAAAAAAAAAAAAAAGAUUUUCAAAGGGAUCUUUUGAGAAAAGUGUUUUGUUUUAAAAAUAAACAAAAAGAACUAGCAUAAGAUCACACAAACACAUCUAGACUGAAAAGAUAACUUAAAAUUGAACUAAAUUGGAAUUAGAAACAUAAACUUUAUCUAACAUGAUUAAAUGAACUAUUGGAUCAAAAUCACCAACACAUCUAAACUAAAGAAUAAAUUAAGAUUAAACUAUUUGGAAUUAAAGACAUGGACUUUAUCUAAUAGGUUUAUUUAAACUAAUGAAUUAAAAUCACUAACACACUUAAACUAAAAGAUAGGUUAAAAUUAAAUUAAUUAAGAACUAAAAAAUGUAAACUUUAUCUAACAGGAUUAUUUAAAAUAAGGAAUUAACAUCACAAAGACAAUUAAAUUAAGAGAAUAAAUUGUAACUAAACUAAACCAGAAUUUAAACAAAAACAUGAUAUCUAAUAGGAUUAAUUAAUCUUAAGAAUCAAAACUUCAAAUAUAUCUGAAUUAAAAAAUAAACUAAAAUUAAACUAAAUUGGAAUUUAAAAAAAACCAUGAAAUUUAUCUAACAAAAUUAAUCAAACAAAUGAAUUAAAAUCAUAAACACAUCCAAAUUAAAAAUAAAAUAAAAUUAAAUUAAAUUAAAACUAAACUAAAUCGGAUUAAAAAAAAAAAAAACUGGAACUCACCUAUCCCGUAUCAUUGAUACCCUCCUGAAUGCAUGCCUGUUGUGCGUGUUUCAGAAAAUCAUCUCUUAGUGUGUGGCUGUAUGUGACAGCCAUCCUAAAAGCAUGGAGUGGACUGGGCUUAUGGCAGCAUGUUGUCCCCUCGUUAGUAGCAUGUCUUCUCCAUUAGCUUGGUGGUAUUCCAUGUGGUUCCUUUCAUGUGGUUGUGUGAGUGGUCUUCUGGGUGGGCUAUCCGUGGCUACGUAACAUGAAGAAAGGUGGUUGUUUUUCCACUGAAUGGCUUGUAAUCCUCUAUAUAUGAGUGACGACAUUCUCGUAUGUGUGUAUUGUCAACCUAGUUUCGGUAUUUACAAUGCCUUAGAACCUUGGUGUGAUGAAUGGGAGACAACCCUUACUAGAUGGUGGCAUGGGAAGUGGAGGUUUGAGCUAUGUUGAUUGCGCUGGGUUUAAUAUCUCUACAUCUCAUGUAAGUCAGAAACUAUCCAGGUAGCUCUUCUAAUAGAGCUUCGACUACAAAAGUUUGCCCACCACACACUUCCCUCAUGGGAACAAACUGCACAAUAUCUCGAGUUGAUACACGUCCUGCGGAACUCUAUAAUUGACAGCCGUUAUCAGCAUCAAGGAUCUCCAUUUUUUUAAAAUCUGCUCUUCCCACUCCAACUAUCAGAAUCGAUAAGGGAAAAUCAGAUGCCCUGACCAAAGCAUAUUUUGUUUCUUGGAGAUCUGUAAGUACUCCAUCCUUUAUGAUAAGCAAAACAAAAUAUUUGUAGUUGUUAUAGCAGAGGGAUUGGCCAACAAUUUCAACUACAUUGUUGAUCACUUGUCCAAAUAAAGUCGGUCCCGCCAGAGCAACAUGGUUUAGUGCACUUGCAUAGGCAGCCAUGAUCUCUUGGAUUGUCAAGCCCCAAGACCCACUCCAAGGGCGUGACGGUCAUUUCACACCUCAAACCUGAAGGCUUAAAGUAUAAUCUGACCCAAACAAUCAUAUUGUAACUGGAUGUUACCAAUUACCAAAUACCUAUUCAGAGUAGCGGAACAAAAUCUAAAAUCCUCAAAAUUCAAUUUCCAAAUAACUUCCAAAUAUCAAAUGAUCCAAAUGAAUAUAACUAACAGUUAAACAAAAUCCAACAUAAAAUCCUAAGUCAAAUCUUAAUGAUGACCAUUCCUCAGCCUAGCCAUCACUCCUCACCCGAACUAAGAGUACCUGAAAAAUUUUCAACAAUUGGGAAUGAGCUCACAACCCAAUAAGGAAUAUUAAUGCAGUUCAUGGAUCACAUAUUUUCAUUUCAAAUAGGAGAUAUCAUUUUUUUUUCUCAUCAAAUAUCAGAGUUUCAAAAAUACCAAUAUAUUCAAAAUUCAACCAACCAAUUUCAUAUCAAAUUCAAACACUUUCACAUAAGAUUCAAUCAAAUCCAUUCAAUUUUUCAUUACUCUGGUUAUCAAAUAUCAAAUGCCCAGUUAGGUGGGACUUUUCAAAUGGGUGGCUAGCCUCAAAUUGUUCCUGGUGGACGGAACCAAACACUACUAGUACUAGUAAUCUCUAACCAAACCCCUAGAGGCUGGGGUCCAAAUCAAUUACAUUCUCACUAUGAAAUGUAAAGGUCAACUAUUAUAUCUCAUUGACAAGGUCGAAUAGUCAACUAUUAUAUCCCGUUGACAAGUGUCAAAUAAACCAGAGUGAUGUUUUUGUUCAAGUAUUCAAAUUUACACAACAUAAUAUCUCCAUAUUUUGUGUCAUAAAUAAAACAAAAUAUUCCAACAUAAUAUUUAGUGCAAAACAGUUUGAUCCAUGCAUGGUAACAAAAUAUCAUUUUCUUUUCCACAAUUCAAAAUAACAUAUAAAAAAAUUUAAUUUUAUAAAUAUUGCAUUAACUUCCCUUACCUCAAAAGAAGUCCUAAAAAACUUUGGAGAAAAAAAUAAUCCUGAUAAUCUACUCUUCACCUAACAAAACAUAAGAAGAACAAUUAUUACUAUUUACCUAAAAUUAUAGGUUUGACAAUCCUAAAAUUUUAGGUAUUCAAAUUAUUAUUUUUAAUUAUGAAAGACAAUUUAAUCUAUUCAUAAUAAUUUUUUUUUUGGGACACAACUUAAUUUAAUUAAACUAUAAUUUAUUUCACUAAUUAAUUUCUAUGUUAUUUAUUAACUUAUACUCAUCAUUAGUAUAAUUAUAAUACCAAAAAAAAAACUUUACUUUCUUUUAUUUAAAACUUCUAUUCUCUCUUUCCUUUUUUUUUUCAAACAUAAACUUUAUCCAUUAUUGUCAAUAUAAUAAUAUAUAUACAUAUAUAUAUACAUUAACUACCAAACCCCAUUCAUCCCUCCAUCCGUACACACACCCACACCCCAUAUAUAUAUAUAUAUAUAUUUUCUCCAAGUGUGCACAUGCGUCCUCUAUUUUUUUUUCUUUCUAAAAGCUUAAGAAUUUCCAAUUUCCAACAAUAAAUCAAAAUCUUAAAUUUUCACUAUUUUGAUAUUAAAACGAAAUAAUAAUAAUAAUAAUAAUAAUAAUAAUAAACUAACCCUAAUUCCAAUAAUAAAUCAAAAUCUUAAAUUUUCACUAUUUGAUAUUAAAACGAAUUAAAAAAAAUAAUCUAACCCUAAUCUAGAUUUGGGGUUUUCCAAAAAAUAUAUAUCUAAUGUGCUUGAAAUUAACUAAUGAAUCUAAAAUAAUAAUCUAGGGGUUAGAAACUUACCUAUAGAGGUUUGUUCUUCAAACCUUGAAAUCUGACCUCAACUUCACGUUCUCUGGAAACUCUCUAGGAAUAGGAAUACGAUUAAAAAAAGAACAGGAAGAAGAGAAUUUUCUAUUUAUACCUAGGGUAUUAUUCGUAAAAUUACCUUUUCACCCCUCUUCCAUUUUAUUAAAUUAAUUAAUUAGUUAAUUUAAUAUCAUUAUUAAGAAUUUCCUAAAUUACCCUUUAAAAGAAAACUUGGGCAUUACAUCCUCCUCUUCUUAACAAAAGUUUAGUCCUAUAAACUUGACAUGCCUGAAUCUUGAAAUAAUUGGCCUCUCGGAUACUAUGAUUGCUCCACUGGACCUUUACCAACUUGACAACAGCAUGUCGUAGUACCUUAUCCAUCACAUCCACAAUUUGAACGGGUACCUUUUCAUAGGUCAAGUCCUCAAAAAUUUGAAUAGGCUCCAACUCCACAACAUGAGAGGGAUCAUAAAUAUACUUCCUUAGAGUUGAAACAUGAAACACAUUAUGAACCUUAGACAGGCUUGGGGGCAAGGCUACUUUAUAUGCCAAAGUGCCUACUCUUUCUAAUAUUUCAAACGGACCCACAAAGCGAGGACUAAGUUUUCAUUUUCUCCCAAAUCUCAUCACAGACUUCAUAGGUGAAACUUUCAAGAACACAUGAUCACCCACCUCAAACUCCAAAUCUCGCCUACGAUGAUCGGCAUAACUCUUAUGUCUACUUUGAGCUGCUUUUAAUCUUUCUUUAAUCAAAACAACUUUUUCAACAAUCAACUGCACAAGUUCAGGCCCCAAAAGUUUCCUUUCUCCAACAUCAUUCCAACAGAUAGGAGAUCGACAUUUCCUACCAUACAAUGCCUCAAAAGGUGACAUCCUAAUGCUAGCUUGAAAACUAUUGUUAUAGGCAAACUCUACUAAAGGUAAAUGAUCAUCCCAAUUACCUUGCAGGUCCAAAAUACAAGCUCUCAACAAGUUUUCCAAAACCUGAAUUACCCUUUCUGAUUGGCCAUCAGUUUGAGGAUGGAAAGCAGUACUAAAACUCAACUUAGUGCCCAAAGCUUUUUGUAGACUAUGCCAGAAUCUAGAAGUGAAACAAGGAUCUCUGUCAGACACUAUAGAAACUAGUACUCCAUGCAUUCUCACAGUCUCCUUCACAUAAAGAGAAGCUAAACGAUUUAAAGAAAAGUUGACUUUCAUAGGCAAAAAGUGAGCAGACUUUGUCAACCGAUCAACAAUCACCCAAAUAGCAUUAUUACCCCCUAAGAUUCUUGGCAAUCCUAUCACAAAAUCCAUGGUAAUAUGCUCCCACUUCCACUCAGGAAUAGCAAGUGGCUGUAAAGACCCUAUUGGUCGUUGAUGUUCAGCCUUCACCUGUUGACACACUAAACACUGAGCCAUAAAUUGUGCAAUAUCACGCUUCAUACCUGACCACCAAUAGUUUUGCCUCAAAUCCUUGUACAUCUUUGUCCCUCCUGGGUGGAUUGCAAACUUGGAACAAUGAGCUUCCUCUAAAAGCUCCCUCCUUAAGUCUUCAUCAUUUGGGACACAAAGUCUAGUCCCAAAUCUUAAGACCUCAUCAUCUGACAAAACAAAAUCAGGCUUAUUGCCCCUCUUAACUUCCUCCAUAACUUGCACUAAUUGGGAAUCAUUCUUUUGUAGGGUCUUAAUUAUCCCAACUAAGUCUGGUUGUACUCUGAAAUCUGCUACAAGUGCUCCUAAGCCCAUAACUCGAAAGUGGACUUGUAAACUCCUCAACUCUUCAAGUAACUGCCUUUGACAACCUCUAAUAGCUGUUAGAGAACCAACUGACUUCCUACUCAAGGCAUCAGCUACAACAUUUGCCUUCCCAGGAUGAUACUGAAUAAUACAAUCAUAGUCCUUAAGUAGUUCAAUCCACCUCCUCUGUCUCAUGUUCAAUUCCUUUUGGGAAAAUAAAUACUUCAAACUCUUAUGAUCUGUGAAUAUCUCACAAGUUUCACCAAAAAGAAAAUGUCUCUAGAUCUUAAGUGCAAAAACCACAGCAGCUAACUCCAAAUCAUGAGUAGGGUAGUUCCUUUCAUAAGACUUCAACUGUCUAGAAGCUUAAGCUACAACUCUCCCAUGUUGCAUAAGAAAACAACCUAAACCCUGAUGAGAGGCAUCACUAUACACCAUAAAUCCUCCUGAACCUGAAGGGAUAGUCAAAAUAGGAGCUGACUCUAAUCUAUUCUUCAACUCUUGGAAGCUACAUUCACAAUCAUCAAACCACUCAAACUUAACUCCCUUCUGUGUCAACUUAGUUAAAGGUAGGGCAAUCUUAGAGAACCCUUCUAUAAACCGCCUAUAGUAACCAACAAGUCCCAAGAAACUUCGAAUCUCAGUCACAGUAUUAGGUCUUCUCCAAUUAGCUACAACAUCUACCUUUCCAGGGUCAACUGAGAUGCCAUCAUUGCUUACCACAUGCCCAAGGAAAGAAAUUCAGUCUAACCAAAACUCACACUUCUUCAGUUUAGCAUACAACUGCUUAUCUUUGAGGGUCUGUAAUACAAUACUCAAAUGGCCCUCAUGCUCCUCUCUACUUUUUUAGUAUACCAAGAUGUCAUCUAUAAAAACCACCACAAACUGAUUUAGAUAGGGCUUGAAUACCCUAUUCAUUAAGUCCAUAAAAGCAACAGGUGCAUUAGUCAAACCAAAAGGCAUAACCAAAAACUCAUAAUGCCCGUAUCUAGUUCGAAAAGCAAUCUUAGGUACAUCUUCACUUCUAACCCUUAACUGAUGAUAACCAGACCGAAGAUCAAUCUUAGAGAACACAUAAGCACCUUGUAGCUGAUCAAAUAAAUCAUCAAUCCGAGGAAGGGGAUACUUGUUCCUCAUUGUCACCUUAUUCAACUCCCUAUAGUCAAUGCAAAGUCUCAUUGAGCCAUCAUUCUUUUUCACAUAUAGAAUAGGAGCUCCCCAAGGUGAAACACUAGGCCUGAUAAAACCCUUGUCUAAUAACUCCUGAAGCUGAACUUUCAACUCCUUAAGCUCCACAGGUGCCAUCCUGUAUGGGGCCUUAGACAUAGGACCUGUUCCUGGUACCAGAUCGAUGGUGAACUCCACCUCUCUCUCUGGUGGCAAGCUAGGCAAAUCCUCUGGAAAGACAUCAGGAUACUCCCUUACUAUGGGUAUGUCUUCCAACUUCAAAUCACUUUCAUUACUCAUCACACUAGCCAAAAAUCCUUGGCAACCCUUCUUGAGCAAGCUACUAGCUCGCAAGGUUGAGAUCAUACGCAGUGGUUUGUCCACAUGUUUCCCUUCAAAGCUAAACUUAGGUUGACUAGGAAUACUAAAUGUCACCUUUUUUUCAAAAUAGUCAACAGAGGCAUGGUAGGAAGCUAACCAAUCCAUCCCCAAAAUCACAUCAAAAUCCUGAAGGUCAAGGAGUACUAAGUCAACUGGCAUUUCCCUAUAACCAAUCAUCACAAUACAAUUUCUAAUCAUUCUACUGGCCACAACAGAAUCUCCCACAAGAGUAGCAACAAUCAAAUCAAAGUCCAUGCUAGCAACAGGCAAACCCAACAAACCAGUAAAAGAUACUAAAACAAAAGAGUGUAUUGAUCCAGGAUCAAUCAAGACUCUAGCAAAUAAGGUGUGGAUUCAGAGAGUACUUGUCACCACAUCAAAAGUGGCCUGAGCAUCUCGAUGAGUCAUAGCAAACACCCGUCCUUGGGCUUUGGGUUUCUGUUUAUCCUCCUUAUUUUCCUCUUUAGGCUUCCUAGUGAUGAACUUCCUAUUCUCUGGACAAUCUCUGAUCGAAUGUCCUUGCUUCCCACAACCAAAGCAAACUCCAGUCUCUCUAUAGCAUGACCUACCCCCAUGCUUCUUACCACAAGUAGGACAAGCCCCAUCUAAAUUAUGCGCUGUCUUCCCUUUAUUCUGAUUUCUUCCUAAUGUAGACCUUCGCUGUGCUUGAUUACCAUGAGCACCAUCACUCCUAUUUCGCUUCCUUUGCUGUUCCCUAUACUGAUGAAGCUCCUCAUUAUCUUUCUCUGCUAUAAGGGCUCUAUCAACAACCUCUGAAUAGACACCAAGCUUUAGAAUAAAUAUCUUGUUCUUCAAAUAAGGCUUCAAUCCAUCCUGAAACUUUAAUGCCUUUUCCUCCUCUAUAGCAAUCAACUGUGGGGAAAAACGUGAUAACUCUGUAAAUUUGGCCUCAUACUGAGCCACAGUCAUAUCCCCCUGUUCCAAACGAAUAAACUCUCCCACCUUCUGCCGCCUAACACUAUCAGGGAAAUACUUCUUGUAGAAAGCCUCCCUAAAUUGUCUCUAUGUUAUGGGUCCCUGAUCCUCUAAAAGUCUCCUAGUCAUACGCCACCAAUGAUCUGCCUCUUUAUCUAAUAUAAAGCUGUAUAAGAGGUUUUUUGCUCCUCAGAGCAAUCUAUGACACCAAAUAAUUUCUCCAUCUUAAGGAUCCAAGCCUUUGCCUCUGUGGGAUCUGUAGCACCAGAAAAGUAAGGAGGACCCAAUUUCUUGAAGUCAUCAAAAGAGCUACCCCUAGAAGAUGAAGACUGUCCCUGAACAUUAGUCCCAACAGCUCGAGCUUAGCGUUCAACUAAACCAGCUAGUGUCCCAAGAUACCUAUAAAUCCCUUCUGUACUCACAAGAGGCAAACCCUCAACUGGAGGUAUAUCAUCAUUAGCCUGACUGUUUUGUGAAGAAGCUGCUCUUCUUGGUGGCAUGAUGUCCUAAAAUAAUAAUGCAUAACUAAAUUAGUCACUAAAGAACCAAUUAGAAAAUUUCCAAAUAAAGAAAGAAUUGAAAUUUAUACUAAAUGAAACUAAAACUUAAACAAAUGCGUCACUCAUCUAUCCCCAAUCUAAACCAAUUCAAAUUCCCAUCAAGAUCAAAACCUAGUGCUCUGAUACCACUCUGUCAUGCCCCAAGACCCACUCCAAGGGUGUGACGGUCAUUUCACACCUCAAACCCGAAGGCUUAAAGUAUAAUCUGACCCAAACAAUCAUAUUGUAAUUGGAUGUUACCAAUUACCAAAUACCUAUUCAGAGUAGCGGAACAAAAUCUAAAAUCCUCAAAAUUCAAUUUCCAAAUAACUUCCAAAUAUCAAAUGAUCCAAAUGAACAUAACUAACAGUUAAACAAAAUCCAACAUAAAAUCCUAAUGAUGACCAUUCCUCAACCUAGCCAUCACUCCUCACCUGAACUAAGAGUACCUGAAAAAUUUUCAACAAUUGGGAAUGAGCUCACAGCCCAAUAAGGAAUAUUAAUGCAAUUCAUGGAUCAAAUAUUUUCAUUUCAAAUAGGAGAUAUCAUUUUUUUUUCUCAUCAAAUAUCAGAGUUUCAAAAAUACCAAUAUAUUCAAAAUUCAACCAACCAAUUUCAUAUCAAAUUCAAACACUUUCACAUAAGAUUCAAUCAAAUCCAUUCAAUUUUUCAUUACUCUGGUUAUCAAAUAUCAAAUGCCCAGUUAGGUGGGACUUUUCAAAUGGGUGGCUAGCUUCAAAUUGUUCCUGGUGGACGGAACCAAACACUACUAGUACUAGUAACCUCUAACCAAACCCCUAGAGGCUAGGGUCCAAAUCAAUUACAUUCCCACCAUGAAAUGUAAAGGUCAACUAUUAUAUCCCAUUGACAAGGCCGAAUAGUCAACUAUUAUAUCCCGUUGACAAGGACCAAAUAAACCAGAGUGAUGUUUUUGUUCAAGUAUUCAAAUUUACACAACAUAAUAUCUCCAUAUUUUGUGUCAUAAAUAAAACAAAAUAUUCCAACAUAAUAUUUAGUGCAAAACAGUUUGAUCCAUGCAUGGUAACAAAAUAUCAUUUUCUUUUCCACAAUUCAAAAUAACAUAUAAAAAAUUUAAUUUUAUAAAUAUUGCAUUAACUUCCCUUACCUCAAAAGAAGUCCUAAAAAACUUUGGAGAAAAAAAUAAUCCUGAAAAUCUACUCUUCACCUAACAAAACAUAAGAAGAACAAUUAUUACUAUUUACCUAAAAUUAUAGGUUUGACAAUCCUAAAAUUUUAGGUAUUCAAAUUAUUAUUUUUAAUUAUGAAAGACAAUUUAAUCUAUUCAUAAUAAUUUUUUUUUUUUGGAUACAACUUAAUUUAAUUAAACUAUAAUUUAUUUCACUAAUUAAUUUCUAUGUUAUUUAUUAACUUAUACUCAUCAUUAGUAUAAUUAUAAUACCAAAAAAAAAAAAAACUUUACUUUCUUUUAUUUAAAACUUCUAUUCUCUCUUUCCUUUUUUUUUUCAAACAUAAACUUUAUCCAUUAUUGUCAAUAUAAUAAUAUAUAUACAUAUAUAUAUACAUUAACUACCAAACCCCAUUCAUCCCUCCAUCCGUACACACACCCACACCCCAUAUAUAUAUAUAUUUUAUUUUUUUCUCCAAAUGUGCACACGCGUCCUCUAUUUUUUUUUUUUUCCUAAAAGCUUAAGAAUUUCCAAUUUCCAACAAUAAAUCAAAAUCUUAAAUUUUCACUAUUUUGAUAUUAAAACGAAAUAAUAAUAAUAAUAAUAAUAAUAAACUAACCCUAAUUCCAAUAAUAAAUCAAAAUCUUAAAUUUUCACUAUUUGAUAUUAAAACGAAUUAAAAAAAAUAAUCUAACCCUAAUCUAGAUUUGGGGUUUUCCAAAAAAUAUAUAUCUAAUGUGCUUGAAAUUAAUUAAUGAAUCUAAAAUAAUAAUCUAGGGAUUAGAAACUUACCUAUAGAGGUUUGUUCUUCAAACCUUGAAAUCUGACCUCAACUUCACGUUCUCUGGAAUCUGUCUGCGAACAGGAAUACGAUUCAAAAAAGAACAAGAAGAAGAUAAUUUUCUAUUUAUACCUAGGGUAUUAUUCAUAAAAUUACCUUUUCACCCCUCUUCCAUUUUAUUAAAUUAAUUAAUUAAUUAAUUUAAUAUCAUUAUUAAGAAUUUCCUAAAUUACCCUUUAAAAGAAAAUUUGGGUGUUACAUGGACCCUUUCAACCUCAACACCACUUGCACUUCCAUUUAAGUUAAAACAAUGUGAUAUGGUACCAUCCAUUAUUCUUCUCCCAAAUCCCCAUGCAGGAAAGCGCCUAUCAGAAUCAUAAAAUUGUAUGACCUCUUCGACGUCCAUUAUAGCUUGUUGGUAAGCAUUGAACCGGCCAAAAUGAUCAAUGUAGUGCAAAGAAUCUGGAGUUCGAGGAUUUCCAUUUGAAGCAGUAAAAUCGACAACAACCAUAAAAUUAAGUGCACAUCCACUAGAUACAUAAUCAAUAAAACUGUAUAGUUGCUUCUCACAAAAUUGAUCAACAAAUAGUUGGUCCUUCAAAACCUUCUCAUGACCAUGUUGAACAGAAGAGGGUAAGAUGAAAUUGACACCAAUUUUUUUUUUUUUUUUUUUUUUGUUUAUGAAGUUUUUCCAAGUCUACCACUGAUUUUUGAAGUUCAAUAAUCAGUACAUUAUUCCCACUAGUAUUGAAAUCAAAGCACUCAAUAACUAAUAGGUUAUCCUUGCUAACAAAUUGCUUCAUUGUCAAACGUAGAGGCCUCCAGAUUGGAUUCAAGUUGUUAUCAACCACUUUUGUCUUGCAAAUUGAAAAAAAACCUCCAUGUUCAACCAUCCUAGAUAUUCUUAGAAAAGGGUCACUUUUAGAAACCAAGUCUUUGUUUUCCAAAUGUGAACAAUGGAAUAUAACAUCAAUAGAUUUCCUUGAAGCAGCUGUUUCCUCUGCAUGGACAAUGAGUUUCCCUAGGUUUUUCAAACCCCUAUUCCCAUUUCUGUUAUGAAGAUCUAAGGUUAAAUUUUGGCCUUGUUUAGUCAAUAUCUCUGAUAGAACACAACUGCAUUCUCCAAGGAAUUCUUGAUCAUUCAACUUCAGUGUUUGGACAGUCUCCAAUCUUAUCACUUGACUUCAAGUUGCCAUUCCUCUCCAAGAUUCUCCCCAAACAAGUGUACUACCGGUUCGACUCAUUUUCUCCGAAGUCAAUCCCAUAAUGCUUUCUCUCCAAAGUUUGUAUGCUAUAAUGAUUUCUUCCUUGCUUGGAGAAUGGUGCGGUUGGUUGAUGGUUCUUCCCUGAAUCUGUUGGUUCUUCUCUGAGUUAGAUCUUCCCCUCUAGAAAAAUCCCUCGUGCUCCUUCCAAAUCACUGGCUUAUGCGUCCUCUUCCUCUCCUGGAGAUAUAUGUUUCUAUUUUUCUCACGAAAACAAUCCAAAAAAAAUCCUCCUGCCUCCUCCCGUGUCCCUUAAUUGAAUACAAGGUAUGUCAUUUUCCCAUCAUAAUAGUAAGCAUUUAAUUAUAAUUACUCAAACCUCCCGAUGAACUAAUCCUACUGGUUCUAGUAAACGAUUUACUUGCACCAUUCCCUCCAACAAAAUGAAGAGAUCAACCACCAUUACCUCCCCAUAAGAGAGAAUCUCCAAGGAAAAUAUGAGGAAUUUUGUGAGCACCAUCAGUACUAAUGAUAACAACAAUAAUCAAACCAUAAAUUCCCAACACUCUUGCCAUAACAGCUGGAACGAUCGACUUCAUAACAAGUUCCAAUCUCAUCACACCCAUGGAGGCCACACCAACCCCGUUCUUUGUGGUUCCAUAUGACACUCCCAUAUAGGAGAAAACAAGGGUGGUAGCAGCGUCGAGGAAACCGAAGAAUGGAGCCAUCUCAUCGCCGCUGAAGGUAGACAUCUUCUUGUGUUUGAUUUCCACCCAAACGGACCAGAUUUGAAAAAAUUUCUUCCUUUUUCUCUGCAGUGUCCUUUCCUCUAUGCUUAGAAUUUUUCUUCCUCUUGUUCCCUCUUCCUUUGUCUGGUGUGAUUGCACUUUUUUUCUCAUUUUUUUUUUAUGAUCUCUCUGAUCCCCUUUCUAGAAUGGUAAGUCUUCUUUUCAUGUAACGCUCACUAUUUCAUUCAUCUAUGCGCGUGAUGUUCUCCCAACUGUCCCUUGUAUUUUUCCAAAAAAACCGGCUUCAUUCAUUCACCAGAACGCCGGAGAUCCCUCUUUCACGUGAUGCUGAAUCGCCCUUUACCCUCAUGGUGAAUAUGUGUUGUCCAUUUUUAAGUCCCCCGCAUCACUUUCCAAUGGUGGUUGCAUGUGGACCUUCAUUGUAGAUUUCCUCCAACUCUCCCAAAUCCAUAGAUGCCUUUAAAAUACACUUUUCUUCCCAUCCUGAUUUUUCAUUCCAAAAAAUAUAUAGCCCAUUGACCUUCUUUUUCCUUAAAAAAAAUUUGACCUUGAUUCCCUAUUCCCAAAUAUGUAAUCGUUUCCUCAUCAAAACAAAAUAAAAUAAACUUAAAAAUUAAAAAAAAAAAAAACUAAUGAAAAUCAUGAGAUUGAUAAAUAAAAUAAAAGAAGAUUAAAAAGAAAAAAAGAAAGACUAAAUUACGUAAUUUCAUGAUUUAAUAAUGCAACCACAUGCAUAUUUAAAGUCAAAGCAAUUCAAGCAAUUUUCUAUUAAAUAAGUAAAUAAAUAAAAAAAAUUAAACAAAAAUAAAUGUAAUUAUUAAAUUCAUGCAAUAAUAAUAAAAAGAUUAAAAAUAAAAAUAAAAAUAAAAUAAUAAAAAAAUAAAAUAAGAUAAAAUAAAAUAAAUAAAUAAAUAAAUCAAGCGCGUGCUAGUCAUACAAUCUAUGCAACCCUACUUGAGAGGUGACCUAAGCAAGACUAGUAAAACUAAGUGGGCUAGUCAUGCCUAAUGGGCCAUGUGUGCUUAAAUGAGCCUAAGGUGCUUAUGUGGGCUUAGAGUGCCUAAGUGGGCCUAGGAAGGAUGCCUAAGUGGGGCCUAGGAUGCCUAAAUGGGCCUAGGGUGCCUAAAUGGACUUAAGGUGUCUAAGUGGGCCUAAGGUGCUUAAGUGGGCCUAAGGUGCCUAAGUGGGCCUAGGGUGCCUAAAUGAACUUUAAGUGCCUAAGUGGGCUUAAGGUGCCUAAGUGGGCUUAAGGUGUCUAAGUGAUCUAGUCUAAAUAGGGCUACCAAGAGUCACAAUGGGGUUAGGUAAAUCUCUUAACCAAAGUCUCCAAGGUGUCUUAGAAAAGAUAGACUACACGAGUAGUAAUGGGCCACCAGGAAAUUGCUGUAAAGUAUUGAACAAAUACCUAAUAGGACAUGUGCUAAGAUGACAAAAUGGAGAGUCUACAGAUAUUUUCUUGUUUAGGGGAAUUUGUCCAAGGUUUCCUUUCAACUCCUUGUGUGCGCCGUAACAUGCUAGCAGUGAUUCGUGAUGAGGACUUGACUUCUUAACCAUCACCUCCAUGUAUUCUCUUGUAGUAAAGGCAACCCUAUAGCUUGAAUAAGAGUAGUAGGUUGAAAUAUCACGACUUGAUUCUUGAUUGUAUUUCUCAAACUAGUUAUGAACCAUAUUCCUCUAUUAAGCACUUGUCCUUACCAUUAACGCUUCAAACUACUCUUAAUAAAUUCACACCGAUGAGGUUUGCCUCAAUUUAGUAAUCUAGCCUAUUAGAUUGUCAUACGUCCUUGGUCCAAGCUGCAUAAUUAUAUUUACAACAAAUGUCUUUCAAUUUAAUUCCUUACCAAAGGCUUCAUAACCCUAGAACCAUUGUAGAGUCUUGCCCUUCAAAUGAAUAAAGGCAAUCUCAACCUUCUCUUAUUCCAACAUUUCAUUAUACUAGAAAAACCUCUCACACUUGUACACCCAACCCACAAGAUUUUCCUCCUCAAAAGCUAGAAAAUUCAAUUUUAAAAAUUUGGUUUGCAUAUGAUUCAUGUUAGAAGCGAAACCUGUUCGUGGCUUGAUUGCAAUUAAACCACAAACCCCCAUGGAAACCAUUGAAACCAAUGAUUUUUCUAUUAGAUGAUCAAUUUUGAGGUUCAUUGCUAUCAUCAUUCGGGCUAACUCCUUCAGUUCUAACGAUUGUUGAUUUGAGGUCUCUUUCAAUUGCUUUACGGAAUCCUCCAACGGAUGAACUUCUUGUGUUCUAGUCCCAUCCAUCAUCACUUGGUGCUAGGUUGUCGCUCUAAUACCGAUGAAACAACCAAGAAGAAGAAGAUACGAUAUAAACAAAGAAAAAUAAAACUUUUAUUGAAUAAUGUUCUCAUAAUCCCUACCUAAAAGGAACUAGUCUCUUUAUACCCAAGAGUCAUUGACUCAACAAAAAUAAAAGUAUAAAUUGCAAAAGAAAAUCAAAUAAAAUCUGAGUAAUUACCAAACUCAGCUUAUUCAGAAACACCUAAGAUAACCAAAAUAAAAUCAAAUAAAAUGACGGAACCUAAUUUAAAAUGAGUUAUUGCAAAAGUAUUUUAAAGGUGGAUUUUAUAACCCUCGUUUCUUCCUUGUAGGAUCAGCUGGUGCAAUUCUCUUGGGUCAAUUUCUCAAUUGUGAGAACAAGAGGUGUAGAGAUUUUGAUAUGAUCAUGCUUAAAACUGCAAGUAGGGAUGUCACAGAGAGGCAGCAUUAAAGGUGCAAUGACGUGAUGGAGAAAAAUAAAAUUUUGUUUCUUUUCUGCAACCAGCAGCCCAACUAAAAGAGAGCAAGUUCAGUCAACUCUAUUAUCCAUGAAACCUGUAUUACAAAAGAAAGUGAAAGAUUAAGACAAAUAUUGAGAGACCCAUUUAAUUCUGCUGCUUGGCCUUUUCAAACAUAGUGAUUUUGUUAGUAAUUGCUGGGUUUUGUGGCUCUUUCUCAAGGGUAGGUGUGAUAUUGGGGUUCUGAAGGAGAGGGACAGAGGGGUAUCAUAAAACGACGUGGUUGGAACUCUUUCUCACAUUACGUUUAGGGUUUUUGCUUCUUAUUGGCAGCAGGAAGGAGCUGAGUGGGAGAGUGACAAAUAUGAGAAAAAAAUAACCCAUCUGCAUGGAAGCCAUUUUUGGGCUAAGUUUCAGUAGUGGAGGAGAAAACUGGCAAUUCCUCAGUCUGAGCUUCUCCUUUUUCCUCAAUUGGAUGCUGUUUAUGUAGGGCUUGACCAAUCCAAGUUGAAGCCCUAGUUAAAACCCUGAUGGGGCUAAUUAAUCGGAUGCCAUAUUGCAGAAAGAGCUUCUUACUCAUUUUACUUGAGCCUUGAAAAAGUUCAGCAGAUGGAGAAUAACAUUUCCCUAAUCCUCCAUUUGCUGGUUAUAAUUACAAUUCCCCAUCUCUCCUUGUAAAUUCUCUGUUUAUACCAAUAUUAGCUAUCUCAUCCUUGCCAAAAACAGCUUGCUCUAAUGCUUUCUAAUUCGUGGUAACAGAUGCUUUGCUUUGAUAUAUGAACUUUACGCAAAUAAAAAAUAACAUUCCAUUUGGAAUGUGUUCAAUUAGUUAUGUAUUUAAUCCCAUGUACUUGUACUUUGAAGGACAAUUCAAGGGCUUUCCAUGCAUUGAUUGAAUAUGGCUAAUGGCUAGUCAAAUGAGUAUCCAAUGGAUAAGUCAUAAGAAUAAGGAAAGAGAUGUUUUCCUGGUUACUGGAUGAGGUAGAGGCUGAAUCUUUAUGCUUUACUUAAUGCCUGAGAAAGAUUCUAUGGAAAUGAUUUCUUCAAAAUAUUACAGUAGGGGGGUGGUAUGUUUCUUCCUCUAUUGAAAUUUUGAUGAAUAAUUUCCUCUUGGUUUUGAAGUUGUGGUUUGCUACAUUGGUGGAUGUCAUUGGCAUUAUUAUCUGACUCUGUUUAUCUAUAUUUCUUUUCUUCUUUGCCUUUAUUUGUCUGUCCCCUUUUCCUUUUCUUGUUUGUGUCAAACAUUUGCUGUUGAUUAUCUUUUGGAAUGUUAUGUUUAUACAAAUAACAGUGUGGCUUAGAACUGUUGUAUGUUGGUAGUCUAUUGCUCAAACCAACUGUCUGAAUAAAAUGCUUGGGUAAUGACCUAUUAAUUGAACGUUGUGAAGAACUCCCAUAUUCCUUUUGUGUGAAUCCCAUGGUCGAUGUUUUUUUUUUCAUCAUUUUGGAAGGGAUCUGAUAUAUAUUUUCAAUAGGUGUAAGUGUGAGGCAUACUUUAACCAGAUCCAUCAUUUUAAUUUAAGAAUUUUAUAUUUGUAGAUAGACCAAGAUACUUUUGUUUUGCUGUUAACACAUUUCCAAACAGUUCAGAUAAAAUGUAUCAAGAAACAUCAGCCAUAGAAACAUCCAUAUUUUCAGUCUGCAGAUUAGGAACUUGCAGCUUUAAUUAAUAGGACAUAAAGUUGAACAUAAAAAUCCUGCACUAUCAUGAAAAAAUAUAGCUCACAAAUCCAGUAGAAAAGCUUUAAUAUCAUGCAACUUUGUCAAUGCUUCUCUCAUGAUUAAACGAUCUGUAGUUGAAUGAGCAGCACACGACAAACCAACAUGUAUUAUGGCAGUAGUACACUCUUCAGUUUUGAUUUGCGAAUGGGACGAAGUAUUGCUGCUAUUAAUGAUGCUGUUAAAGUCACCAGAAGAACUAGUGAAGGUGCUAUAGUCUGUACAAGCAUCAUUGUUAAAAAGCCGUUUGUCAGCCAUAUCUAAAAAUUGAUUUAUGAGCAGAGCGGAUGCCAACUUAUGCUGAUCUAAACCUUCCUGAAACAUUUCAUCUGUGGGUUUCUUUGCUGUGAAUAUCUCAAGCAGCAAAAUUCCAAAGCUGUAGACAUCCCUACUUGUUGAAAUCCUUCUACCUAAACCACACUCUACAACAAAAUAACAUCACAUUAGAGUAAUGAAGACCCACACUCAAAAGUGGAAUGUUCGAUGCCGAAUGUUCCUCAACACUUCACACUCUGCAUUGAAAUUCUCAGAAGCUUCACCUUGUUGUAAGUCGAUAACCUUCACUGCAAAAAUGGUGUUGACCCCAUUUUCACCAGUUCAAAAAUGGUGUCGAUAACCUCAUUUUCUUAGCCACCUUUCCCCAUCCCAAGUUCAAAAGCCUUGUUUCUAUUUCUAAGUCAGUAAGAGCUAUCCUUACUCCGUCAUUUAUCAGGAUUGUAUAUAUCGUGUACUCUUUGGUGCCAUUAUAUAUACAUGUUAUUUGUAAAUCAGAAAAAAAAAUACGGAAAAAUGUCUUAAGAGAGUGGUUUGGAGUUAUUUGGGAUUGUGAUUAUAGGGGGUGGGUUUUUUUAUUCAGCAUUAGUAAGUUCUCUCCAAUCUUCUUCAACUUUUGAUUUAUGCCAAGAUUUUUGCAGUUUAUUUUUGUAGUUGCCAGCAUAAGUUAAGGCCUGAGGUGUAGAAGAGGAUAACCCAUGAAAAUUGAGUUUAUAGAGAAAAGGAAAAACAUAUUUUAUUUAUUUUUAUUACUGUUAAAGAGUAAAAAAUGUAUGUUAAGUUAACGUCCUCUUGUGCACACAUCUCCAACCGUGCAGGGAGUGAAACAUUUUUAAACAAAUGCAUGGGGAAUAAACGAACAUAGAAGUUUAAGCCUGAGAGUUCUAAGAAUCAAGGCUCUAGUACUAUAUUUGUUAGAAUUCAUGAGAGUUUGCCUUUGAAAAUGUCUUAGUUAGACUUAGUCUCUGUUUUGCUAUCUCUGAUUUUCAGUUUUCUGUUAGUAGAAGUAGUCAUAGCAGCUGAGAGUUUUUAGCAUUUUCAAUUUGGUUGUAAGCCUAUAAAUAGGCAUUCUCUUCGGUGAAAUAUAGUGUGUGUCUUUCUCCAACUCAGUACUCUAAUAUUUUCUGAAAGUUUUAGUUCCUUUCUCCAGAUUUUUAACAGUGGUAUCAGAGCAAAAUUCCUAUGGGCUGUGAGGCAAAGUUUUUGAGUGUUUUGAGUACUAAACACAGUGAGGUUGAGUGCAAACACUAGUGAGGUUGACUGAUCUAUUUUUUUCAGGCAACUGUGGUGCAAACAUGACUCCUUCUAGCAAUAUUUCCUCUGUAAUUCCAGUGUUUAAUGGUGAACACUAUCACAUUUGGGCUGUCAAGAUGAGGUUUUAUUUAAGGUCUCAAGGUUUGUGGAAUGUUGUGAUGUCAGAAGCUGAUCCACCACCAUUGGGAGCAAAUCCUACAGUUGCUCAGAUGAAAGCAUAUGAGGAAGAAAAACUCAAGAAAGACAAAGCCAUCACUUGCCUACAUUCAGGACUUGCAGACCACAUCUUCACCAAAAUCAUGAACUUGGAAACACCUAAACAGGUAUGGGACAAGCUCCAAGGUGAAUUUGAGGGCAGUGAAAGAGUAAAAAAUGUUAGACUCCUCACAUUGAAGAGAGAGUUUGAGUUGAUGAAGAUGAAAGACGAUGAAUCUGUCAAAGAUUAUUCUGGCAGGUUAAUGGAUGUUGUAAACCAAAUGCGGCUUCUUGGUGAGGCAUUUACAGAUCAAAAGGUGGUAGAAAAGAUCAUGGUUUCAGUGCCUCAAAAGUUUGAAGCCAAGAUUUCUGCAAUUGAGGAGUCUUGUGACUUGCAAACUCUCACAAUUGUAGAGUUAACCAGCAAGCUUCAUGCACAGGAGCAAAGGGUCUUAAUGAGAGGUGAUGAAGCUACUGAAGGUGCUUUUCAAGCAAAUCACAAGGGAAAGAAUUCUGGAAACUUGCAAGGAAAGAAGUUCUUCAAGAACAGCAGAGGGAAAGCUGAAGGGUCUUCAAGAAAAGGAAAAUUUCCGCCUUGCUCUCAUUGCAAAAGAACCAACCAUGCUGAGAAAGAUUGUUGGCACAAAGGUAAACCUCUCUUUAAUUGUAACUUCUGCAAUAAACUUGGCCACAGUGAGAAGUAUUGCAGAGCCAAGAAAAAACAAUCUCAACAGCAACCAGAACAACAUGCAAGUGUGACUGAAGAAGACAAAAAUGAUGAUGAGCAUUUAUUUAUGGCAUCACAAGCACUCAGUUCUCAUGAACUGAAUACUUGGCUCAUUGACAGUGGCUGCACAAGUCACAUGACCAAACAUCUGUCAAUAUUUACCUCCAUUGAUAGAUUAGUUCAACCAAAGGUCAAGUUGGGAAAUGGUGAAGUUGUGCAAGCCAAAGGAAAAGGGACAAUUGCUAUCAGCACCAAGAAAGGUACAAAAAUUGUCACUAAUGUUCUUUAUAUUCCAGAUUUAGAUCAGAAUCUUCUUAGUGUUGCACAAAUGCUAAGAAAUGGAUAUGCAAUCUCUUUCAAAGAAAAUUUUUGUUUUAUCUCUGAUGUACACGGAACAGAGAUAGCAAAAAUUAAAAUGAAUGGAAAUAGUUUUUAUUUGAAGCUUGAUUUAGUUGAAGGUCAUGUCUUUAGUGCCAAGAUUGAUGAGAGUGUUGUUUGGCACAAAAGAUAUGGUCAUUUCAACUUGAAGUCACUGAGGUUCAUGCAAGAAGCUGGUAUGGUUGAAGACAUGCCUGAAAUCUCAGUUAAUGCUCAAACUUGUGAAAGUUGUGAGCUAGGGAAGCAACAACGACAACCAUUCCCUCAAAAUAUGUCCAAGAGAGCUACUCACAAGCUGGAAUUAAUCCAUUCAGAUAUUUGUGGACCAAUGAGCACAACCUCAUUGAGCAACAAUGUGUAUUUUGCGCUAUUUAUUGAUGAUUUCAGCAGAAUGACUUGGGUUUAUUUUCUAAAAACCAAGUCACAAGUGCUCUCUAUGUUCAAAAGCUUCAAGAAAAUGGUUGAAACUCAAAGUGGCCAGAACGUUAAGGUGCUCAGAACUGAUAAUGGAGGUGAGUAUACCUCAAAAGAGUUUAGUGUCUUUUGUCAAGAAGCUGGAAUUCUACACCAGCUAACAACUCCAUACUCACCACAGCAGAAUGGAGUCUCUGAGAGGAAGAACAGAACCGUGAUGGAGAUGGCAAGGUGCAUGCUAUUCGAGAAGAAGCUACCAAAGCUUCUAUGGGCUGAAGCAGUCAACACCUCAGUGUAUUUGCUUAACAGACUACCAACUAAGUCUGUUCAGAGCAAAACACCAAUAGAGGCAUGGUCUGGUGUAAAACCUUCUGUCAAGCACCUGAAAGUUUUUGGCUCAUUUUGUUAUCUUCAUGUGCCAUCUGUCAAGAGAGGGAAGCUUGAUGAAAGAGCUGAGAAAGGUGUCUUUGUUGGUUAUGCAGCAGAAUCAAAAGGUUACAGAAUUUAUAGCUUGAGUAGAAUGAAAAUCGUGAUAAGUAGAGAUGUGCACUUUGAUGAAAACUCCUAUUGGAAUUGGGACUUGAAGAAAGUUCAUAAAUGUGAUCAAACCACUCCAUCUAUUCUUGAACCAGCAAUAGAAAGUACAAUCAUUGAAGGUCCACUUGAUGUUGAAGCAACUUCAGACACACCAGUGCUUAAGAUGAGGCCAUUAUCUGAUGUGUACGAGAGGUGCAAUCUUGUACAUGCUGAGCCUACAUGUUACACGGAAGCUGCAAGAUUUCUAGAAUGGAUUGAGGCCAUGAAAGUUGAAAUUGAUGCUAUCGAAAGAAAUGGAACCUGGAAGUUGACAGAACUACCUGAAGCUAAGAAUGCAAUUGGUGUAAAGUGGGUUUUCAGAACUAAAUUUAAUUCAGAUGGUUCAAUCUUCAGGCACAAGGCUAGAUUGGUUGUGAAGGGUUUUGCUCAAGUUGCUGGAGUGGACUAUGGUGAUACAUUUGCACCAGUAGCCAGACAUGACACUAUAAGGCUACUACUUGCACUUGCUGGUCAAAGGGGAUGGAAAGUGUACCAUUUAGAUGUCAAGUCAGCUUUUCUAAAUGGUAUACUUCUUGAAGAAAUUUAUGUUCAACAACCAGAAGGCUUUGAGGUUAUUGGCCAUGAACACAAAGUGUACAAGCUACAUAAGGCUCUCUAUGGUUUGAAGCAAGCACCAAGGGCCUGGUAUAGCAGAAUUGAUUCUCAUCUGAUCCAACUUGGAUUUAGGAGGAGUGAAAAUGAAGCUACUUUGUAUUUGAAACAAAAUGAUGAUUUUGUAUUUGAAACAAAAUGAUGAUGGUUUGCAACUGGUAGUAUCACUUUAUGUUGAUGACAUGCUAGUGACCGGAAGCAAUGUAAAAUUGCUAGCUGAUUUCAAAAUGGAAAUGCAGGAUGUAUUUGAGAUGUCUGACCUUGGCAUCAUGAACUACUUCCUUGGAAUGGAAAUAUACCAAUGCAGCUGGGGUAUCUUCAUUUCACAAAGAAAAUAUGCUAUGGAUAUUCUCAAGAAAUUCAAGCUAGAAUCAUGCAAAGAAGUAGCAACUCCGCUGGCACAAAAUGAGAAAAUUUCAAAGAAUGAUGGUGAGAAACUUGAGGAACCCUCUGCAUAUAGAAGCUUGGUGGGCAGCCUACUAUACUUGACAGUAACCAGACCUGACUUGAUGUUUCCAGCUAGUUUGCUUUCAAGGUUCAUGAGUUCACCUAGCAAUGUUCACAUGGGAGUUGCAAAGAGGGUGUUAAAGUAUGUUAAAGGUACAACAAAUCUUGGCAUUUGGUAUUUAAAGUCAGGAGGAGUUAAGCUAAAUGGUUAUGCUGAUAGUGAUUGGGCAGGAAGUGUUGAUGAUAUGAAGAGCACUUCAGGUUAUGCAUUUACAAUCGGUUCAGGUGUCAUAUGCUGGAAUUCAAGAAAGCAAGAAGUAGUGGCACAAUCAACUACAGAAGCUGAGUAUAUCUCCUUAGCAGCUGCUGCAAAUCAAGCAAUAUGGUUGAGAAAAUUGCUUGCUGAUUUAGGCCGGGAACAAAGCUCACCAACUGAGCUUUACUGUGACAAUAAGUCAGCCAUUUCCAUUGCUCAAAAUCCUGUCCAUCAUGGCAGAACCAAGCACAUAAAUGUAAAAUUCCACUCCAUAAGGGAAGCUGAAAAGAAUUCACUUGUUAAGCUGCAUUAUUGCUCAACUGAUGAGCAACUUGCUGACAUAAUGACUAAAGGACUUCUUAAAUCAAGGCUGGAGUUCCUAAGGUUGAAGCUUGGUAUGUCCAAGGCAAAUCUCAAGGAGGAGUGUUAGAAUUCAUGAGAGUUUGCCUUUGAAAAUGUCUUAGUUAGACUUAGUCUCUGUUUUGCUAUCUCUGAUUUUCAGUUUUCUGUUAGUAGAAGUAGUCAUAGCAGCUGAGAGUUUUUAGCAUUUUCAAUUUGGUUGUAAGCCUAUAAAUAGGCAUUCUCUUCGGUGAAAUAUAGUGUGUGUCUUUCUCCAACUCAGUACUCUAAUAUUUUCUGAAAGUUUUAGUUCCUUUCUCCAGAUUUUUAACAAUAUUAAAUGAUCAGUUAUCACAAAAGUUUAAGCUUAUACAGAAUGAGUUAAGAAUAUUUAUCAAGUUAAUGGAAAUGAUAGGAACUAGUUAGUGAAAGAGAGUGACAAAGGAAAUUGACAGCAGAAAGCUAAUCCUUCAAAAGUAAAUGGAAUUAACAAAUUAACAAAUUACACUCAUUUCCACGCUGUUAAAGAAAAUGAAAUCGAUCUCCAUGUGACUUAGUCAAUUGGUUCAUCUCAAAGGUCUAGUUUUUAAACAUGUUGGUAUUAUAUGUAUGGAUAUACCCAAUUCAACUGCCAUUAAAAAAUAAAUAGAUAAAUAAAUAAAUAUACUCCUUCCAAUUGCUAUUAACAAUUAUUGGAAGUGGGUGACUAUCUGUAUGGUUGACCUGGUAAACGGAUUCAUCUCAAGAUGGCCCAAUUAGCUUUUCUAGAGAAGUAUCCAAUUAGCUUUUCUAGAGAAGUCAACACAGACAAUUUUAUUGUUUUAUUUUUAUUUUUUGAUUUUUCUUCUUCUACAACAAUUGGCUGUUCAUGAUUAGUCACAUAUUGGUUGUAACAUCAUCUUGAUAACCUACUUUUCUGCAUGGGAAUCAUUUUUUUUUUUUUUUUGGUUCUUUGACAGAGAUAAUGAGAUUGGUCCAACACUUAUUAAUGGCAACAUCAGUUUUGUUAGCCGUUUUCAUCUAUCUCCUAUGUAGAGGCCUUGUUCCUUAUGCCUAAUCUAUAAGAGCUAUCUUCUGUGUAUCAUAGAUGGAUCAUGGAUUAGAUAAUGCAUAUGCAAAACAUAGAAGAAAGAACACUGCAGGGAUCAUUUCCUAGGAAAAGCCUUUCCUCUCAAAGAAAAACUAAUCAGGAUUCAGUACUACUAGCAUACUUUUGAUCAAGUAGAUUUUAUGAGCUGAGCUGACUAAUAGAUCUUCUAUGCCUAGUCCCUUUGUUUUGUACCAAAAAAGGAAAAAAGGAAGUGAGAAAAUAAGAAAGGAGAAAUCAGAAUGAGAAUUUAGAAGUGCAUGAUUUAAAAUGCUUAAAAGUAUUCUUAGAUUAUGUGGAAGGAAUAGGGUCUAUGCAAACAAGUUAUAAUCAUCCCAAUUACUAUAAGAUAUAAAUUAGAAAGCUCUCAAGGUUUUGGUUUAGUCAUAACUUCUUGUUCAUAUCCAGAAGAUUCUCCAUGUAUUGUUCAAAAUAUUGUUUUGACUUAUCAACAAGAGGCAGAGUACUCUUCUUCCAAAACUGGAAUACAUUUGACUGGUCCUGUGUGCUAAGCAUGAUAAAACGAAACAGUCGACAACCCUAGAUUUUCUUAUUAUGUAAUUAAAUAGUCAGCAUUUCCAAAUCCCUCGUGUUUUCGGUAUAAAUACUCAACCUUGACUAAAAUUCUUCAUUCUCAUCCCACUCUAGCUUUUGUUUUCUUUAGCUUGUUAUAUAUUCAUCCUCUGAAGUUAGCAUGGCAAAGAUUUAUUCCUCUAAGGCCUCCAAAGUAAUGCUGACAGCUAUAUUUGUAGCAAUUCUAUUGCUUAUGUUCUCUAUGGCCACUACUGCAAUUCUACAGGACACAACAAUAGGAGUUCAGUAGGGUGAGUAGAAAAUUAUCAUAUGGAGUGUUCUAUUUUUAUUUCUCAAUGCCAAGAUACUUUUGCUUUUUGCUAUCAACUUUGCAUGCCUUUUGCCUUCUUCAUUUCUGUGAUUGUGUGUGAACUAUGUUCAGUUUCUAUGAGUUGGGGGUUUUAUUGAAUUCCAGCCAUGGAAUUGGUAACUGAGAAAUCUUCAAACAGAAGGGUCUACUCAUCUGUGUUCCUGACCGCCUAUCAUUUUUGUGUUGCAGGACGGAAGGCUCUAGGUUUAUCUGUUCAUGUUGAUUAUGAAGACCAGUAUGAUGCAGGAAGGGGAGGAUACGGCUCAACAAGUCCAUAAUCGUGGGAUUGAGUUCCCAAGAGCUGUUUUCGGGAAGGUUGCCAAAUAAAUCUAAGAAUUUCUCUGUGUUUCUGAGUGAUAAUAUAUGGUUCAUGUAUGUUAUUUUACAAAGCAUUUGUACCUUAAAGAAGCACAGAAAGUUGGUGUUAGUCUCUAUAGUGUUGUGUUCCUGCAGUUGUCUUGAAAUUAUAAAUGAAGAGCUUUUCUCCCAGUUCCAUUGUAAUUCUCUUUAGUACUCUACAGAGGAGUCCUACCCAAAUCCCACACCAAAUUGUUAGUUUACAAAAGUCUAUUACCCAUGGAAAAGCUGGGAGUUCUUCAUCCCACACCAUAUUUCAUUUGAUAGAGACUGCAAUAAUUUUAUAAACAUUAUUGGGAGAACCUUAUUUUAAUUUAAUUUUUUAUUUUAUUGCCGUACAUAUGCAAAAAUCCCACACAUUCUGUGUUCAACCGAAUCACAUUGUUAUAUGGAACCAAAAACCCGCUGUCGUUUAACUCCACGGAGAAAGUGUAAAACAGUAUUGCAACUGCUGAUAAGUGAUGAUGGCAUCUGCCAUUGAUGCAAAUCUGUUUUCUUGUCACUUCUUCAGUUUUCUUGUCCACCAAAAGAGGAUUGAAAGUAUUUUAUGUCCUUAGUUUCUUCCUUUUAGGAUCAGCUGAUCCAAUUCUCUUGGGUCGGUUUCUCAAUUGUGAGAGCCAGAGGUUUUAGAGGUUUCGAGUCUUUUGACAUGAUGAAAAUGACCCACAAGUCCUGUAGGGGUUUUCAACUGAGGAGCAGGAUUUAAAUUUCAAUGACGUGUAGAAAAAGAAAAUUUUGUUUUUUUCUGCAACCAGCAACCCAACUAAAAGAAAGCAGGUUCAGUCAACUUUAUUAUGAAUGGAGCCUGUAUUACAAAAGAAAGUGAAGCGUUAAGACAAAUAUUGGGACCCAUUUAAUUCUGCUGCUUGGCGUUUUCAGAGUGAUUUUGUUGGUAAUUUGCUGGAUUUUGUGGCGCUUUCUCAAGGGUAGGUGUGAUUUUUUGGUUUCUGAAGGAGAGAGACAGAGGGAUAUCAUAAAACAACGUGGCUAAAACUUCUCUCUUUCUCACAAUAAGUUUAGGCGUUUAGGGUUUUUGCCUCUAAUUGGCAGCAGCAUGGAGCUGUGCGGGAGAUGGACAAAUAUGAGAAAAAAUCUAACCCACCUGCAUGGAAGCCAUUUUUGAGCGUCUGAGCUCUCCUUUUUUAUCAAUUGGAUGCUGUUUAUGUAGGGCUUAACCAAUCCAAGUUGAAGCCCUAGCUCAAACCCUGAUGGAGCUAAUUAGUCUUAUGUCCAGAAAGAGCUUACUUUUUUUACUUGAGCCUUGAAAAAGUUCAGCAGAUGGAGAGUUACAUUUUCCUAAUCCUACAUUUGCUAGUUAUAAUUACAAGUCCCCAUCUCUCCUUGUAAAUUCUCAGUUUAUAACAAUAUUAGCUAUCUCAUCCUAGCCCAAUACAGCUUGCUCUAAAUCUCUAAUGCCUCCUAAUUCAUGGUAACGGAUGCUUUGCUUUGCUUAGGUAUAUCAACUUUACAUAAACAAAAAUAACAUUCCAAUUGGAAUGUGUUCGAUUAGUUAUGCAUUUAACUACAUGCACUUGUACUUUGCAGGAGAAAUCGAGGGCUUUCCAUGCAUUAAUUGAAUAAGGCUAGUGACUAGUCUAAUGAGUAUCCAAUGGAUGAGUCAUAAGAAAAGAGGAAAGAGAUAUUUUCCUGGUUACUGGAUGAGGUAGAGGCUGAAUCUUUACGCUUUACUUGAUGCCUGAAAAAGAUUCUAUGGAAAUCAUUUCUUGAAAAUAUUACAGUAAGGGGGUUGUAUGUUUCUUCCUCUUGGUUUUGAAGUUGUGGUUUCCUACAUUGGUGGAUGUCAUUGGCAUUAUCUGACUCUGUUUAUCUAUAUUUCUUUUCUUCUUUGCAUUUAUUUUUCUGGCCCCUUUCCUUCUCUUGUUUAUGUCACAUAUUCUGUUGAUUAUCUUUUAGAAUGCUAUGUUUAUACAAAUAACAGUGUGGCUUAGAACUGUUGUAUGUUUGCAGUCUAUUGCUCAAACCAACUGUCUGAAUACAAUGGUUGGGCAAUAACCUAAUAAUUGAAAGUUGUGAAGAAUUCCCAUAUUGCUUUUGUGUGAAUCCCAUGGUUGAUGUUUUUUUUUCAUCGUUUUGGAAGGGGUCUGAUAUAUAUUUUCAAUAGGGUAAGUGUGAGGCAUACUUUCUGUCCCCAACCAGAUCCAUCAUUUUGAUUUAAGAAUUUUACAUUUGUAGAUAGACCAAGAUGCUUUCGUUUUGCUGUUAACACAUUUCCAAACAAUUCAGAUAAAGUGUACCAAGAAACAUCAUCAAUAGAAAUAUCCAUAUUUUCAGUCUACAGAUUAGGGACUUGCAGCUUUAAUUAAUAGGACAUAAUGUUGAACAUAAAAAUUCUGCAGUAUCAUGAAAUAAUAUAGCUCAUAAAUCCAGUAGAAAAGCUUUAAUAUCAUGCUACUUUGUCAAUGCUUCUCUCAUGGUUGAACGAUCUGUGGUUGAAUGAGCAGCACAUGACAAACCAACAUGUAUUAUGGCAGUAAUACACUCUUCAGUUUUGAUUUUCCAAUGGGACAAAGUAUUGCUGCUAGUACCGAUGCUGUUAAAGUCACCAGAAGAACUAGUGAAGAUGCUAUUGUCUGUACAAGCAUCAUUGUUAAAAAGCCGUUUGUCAGCCAUAUCUAAAAAUUGAUUUAUGAGCAGAGCGGAUGCCAACUUAUGCUGAUCUAAACCUUCCUGAAACAUUUCAUCUGUGGGUUUCUUUGCUGUGAAUAUCUCAAGCAGCAAAAUUCCAUAGCUGUAGACAUCCCUACUUGUUGAAAUCCUUCUACCUAAACCACACUCUACAACAAAAUAACAUCACAUUAGAGUAAUGAAGACCCACACUCAAAAGUGGAAUGUUCGAUGCCGAAUGUUCCUCAACACUUCACACUCUGCAUUGAAAUUCUCAGAAGCUUCACCUUGUUGUAAGUCGAUAACCUUCACUGCAAAAAUGGUGUUGACCCCAUUUUCACCAGUUCUGAAAACUCCUUUAUAUACAGAUCCAAAGCCUCCCUUUCCUACCCAAUUUUCUGCGGAGAAAUCAUUUGUAGCAUGCUGGAUGUCAGAGUAUGAUAUCUUUGGCGGCAACGCCUUGAAACAAGGAGAUGGAAAAGUUGUUCCUCUCCUCUUUUUCUUGUUUUGGGUGAUCAGCAUCCAUGUGAUACAGGCUGCACACAUUAACAGGGUAAAGCUGGCAACUGGCAUCACAAUCUUGAGUAUCAAAUGCCUAUUUGACUUCACUUUUGUGAUACAUGUGGGGAUUCUCAGCUUUCCUGCAGCCUCAGGGUCACUACCACAGAGCUUAUUAUUUCCUGUAAGAGAAAGCCAGGUAAGGUUCAUGAAAACACCUUUUCUUGGAACUGGUCCUUCCAAGUCAUUGAAAGACAAAUUUAAGAUCUGAAAAUACAAAAGAUCCUGUAACUCUUCGGGGAUUUGUCCAGUCAGACUGUUGGAAGAAAGAUCCAAGCUCUCCAAUGCUAUUAAUUUACCCAUCGACACUGGUAUGGCACCUGAGAGUUUGUUUGUGGCAAUAUUGAAACUACGCAGACUUAAGCAAGAACCAAUUGUUGUUGAAAUAUUUCCUGACAGCUGGUUAUUAGAAACAUCCAGGACCUCAAGGUGUUCCAAACUUUCAACUAGGGCGGGCUGAGAACCACUUAGUUCAUUAUGCGCCAAAUAUAUCUCGAUUAUAUCAUGAAGUCUGAAAAUCUCCUUGGGUAUGCUACCAUUGAGCUUGUUCUGUCUUAGACCCAGUCUCUUUAAAUUCUGGCACUCUCCAAUACUUGUGGGGAUUCUACCAGAGAACUGGUUGUACCCCAUUGUCAGCAGAAAGAGUCGUGUAAGAUUGCCAAAGAUAUCUGGAAUUUCUCCGGAUAACAUAUUAUUAUCAACCAAUAAUCUCUGUAGUUGCUGAAGUUUUCCUAGGGAAUUUGGUAUCAUACCUGUGAAAAGAUUUUGGUGUAUGUCCAAGGCCCAGAGAUUUUGAAAUCUUUCAAAUCCUCGGGGAAUGCUACCAGUCAGAAAAUUGCUGCCAAAGCAAAAUUCAAGGAGAUGAGUAGAAAGAUUCGCAACUGAAGUUGGAAGCUCACCAGCUAGCUGGUUAUCAUUAAGAUAUAGAAACUCCAACUGUGUACAGUUUGCUAGUGAAUUAAAUACCUGAAGAUUAAGCUUGGUGGUGGAAGAGAGAUUAUUCAGGCCAAGAUGUAGGAGUCUAAGAUUAUUCAUGUUACCAAGUAGAGGAACUGGCCCUUGAAAGUGGUUUGAAGAAAAGUCUAGGACUUGAAUUUGUGAAGCAUUAGAGAAAGAACUGGGAAUUGGCCCUUCCAGCUGGUUAUGUGCUAAGUAGACUUCUGCCAGGUUUGGAAGUACAAGGCCCAUAUCAGUUGGUAGUUCUCCAACAAGCAUAUUUUCUGUUACAGAUAAGUAGAUCAAAGAAGAGAUGUUGUAGAUGGAAUAAGGGAUCUUUCCCUCAAACUGAUUCUCUGAGAGCUGAAGUCUUUGAAGAUUAUGGAGAUGACCCAGCUCAUUUGGGAUUUCGGCGAAGAAUUGGUUUCUUGCUAGGCUGAGAACAGUAAGAGAGGUGAGGUUUCCAAAAUGUUGGAGCUAUUACACCUGUAAGGUUAUUCGCUGCAACGUCAAGAAUUCUGAGUCUCGGCAGAUCUCCAAGUUCAGAUGGAAGGUUCCCAAUAAGUUGGUUGUGCUCAAAAUAAAUCUCCUCAAGGUUAUAACAAUGAGAAAGACCAACUCGAAUUGUAUCAUUAAUGGAGUUUCUUGCAAGGUUAAUAUUCUGAAGGAGUGACAGAUGGCUAAAAUCCAGUUGAAGUUGGCCAUAAAAUGAAUUGUUGGAAAGAUCUAGCAAUUGGAGGGAAGUGAGGUUGGAGAGUCGAGGGUGUAUCAUACCAGAGAGCCCAUAACCAGCAAGACGAAGUGACAGAACUCUAGUUCCGUUGUUGGCACAAGUGACACCAAACCAAGUGCAGACCCAGAAAGAACAUUUUGGGAGUCAGAGACUACGGACUUGAAAGAUAGAAGUGCAAGAGUAUCUGUAUCAGCAUCAACAGCCCCUACCCUGUUAGUGCUGCAAUAUAGAAUAAUUUGAAAGGGGAGGAGGAGAAGCAAUGGGAAAUGGAGACGUUUCUUCAUUUUUGAAAGAAUGGUCAUUGAAUUCAAGAUUUGCAGUCUAUAUUUUAGCUGCCAGCACAUGUUAAGGCCUGAUGUGUGUAGGAGGAUAACCAUUGAAAAGUUGAAUUCAAUUAUCAAACAAGGGCAAAUUAUUUAUUAAUCAGUCCCUGUUAAGAGCAAUGUAACUUCCUCCUAACCAUGUCUCCAACGAUUUUAUCCUAUCUGACAAGAUAUGAAAAUGACCUUAAAUUUAUAUAAUUAUUUUCCAGACCUAGCUUCUGUCUUAUUCUUCAUCCUUAGAUUCCAUAAUGAGGGAAAUGCCAUUUUUCUGUAUUAAGAAUCAAGAGGGAGAGUCAAGCUUAGCAGCAGUGGUGAUGGCUGAAAUCAUUUAACCAAUUCUGAUUUCUGCAAAAGAAACUCAUUUCUGUUGAUUAAUUGGUCGAUUGUGCUCCCUUUUCUCUUACUAUGCAGGGUAUACUUGAGAACAAUGACCUCUGGUGCAUAGUUUACCNNNNNNNNNNNNNNNNNNNNNNNNNNNNNNNNNNNNNNNNNNNNNNNNNNNNNNNNNNNNNNNNNNNNNNNNNNNNNNNNNNNNNNNNNNNNNNNNNNNNNNNNNNNNNNNNNNNNNNNNNNNNNNNNNNNNNNNNNNNNNNNNNNNNNNNNNNNNNNNNNNNNNNNNNNNNNNNNNNNNNNNNNNNNNNNNNNNNNNNNNNNNNNNNNNNNNNNNNNNNNNNNNNNNNNNNNNNNNNNNNNNNNNNNNNNNNNNNNNNNNNNNNNNNNNNNNNNNNNNNNNNNNNNNNNNNNNNNNNNNNNNNNNNNNNNNNNNNNNNNNNNNNNNNNNNNNNNNNNNNNNNNNNNNNNNNNNNNNNNNNNNNNNNNNNNNNNNNNNNNNNNNNNNNNNNNNNNNNNNNNNNNNNNNNNNNNNNNNNNNNNNNNNNNNNNNNNNNNNNNNNNNNNNNNNNNNNNNNNNNNNNNNNNNNNNNNNNNNNNNNNNNNNNNNNNNNNNNNNNNCCCACAGCUCCAGCAGAAAUUUCUUGAUCUCUUGCAACUUGGUUAAAGUUUCUCUCAUGGUUAAACGUUCAUUAGGGGAAUGAUCUGCACAAAACAAACCAACUCUUAUUAUGGCUGUCAGGCACUCUUCACUUUUAUUUGGCCCGAUGCUGAUGGUAUUGCUUGUGCUGCUGUGCUUGCUGUUUCCUGAGGAACUGACGAAGGGGCUGCAAAGCUCUGAAGAACCAGUAUGGCUGAAAAGCCUAGGAUCAACAAUUCCUGAAACUUGAUUUGCUUCCACUGCCAAUGCAUAUUUUUUCUGGUUUAGGCCUUGCUGAAACACCUCAUCAGUGGGCUUCCUAGCUGUGAAUAUCUCAAGCAGCAGAAUUCCAUAACUGUAGACAUCUCCAUUUGUUGAAGCUUUUCCACCCAAACCAUACUCUAAUUAAAACAAAGUGACAGCAGAUUAGAAUAUCAACAUCCAGUCUAAACAACUAAUUCGUUUUGCAAAAAGUAAAGAAAACCCAAGGGAGUCAAGUCCUGAUUUUGUUUCUAAAAUUUUGGUUUGUUUGGUUGUUUCAUAAGAAGUUUUGCAAGAUCAGUUUUGAUCAGUACCUGGAGCAAUGUAGCCAAUUGAGCCCUUUAGUCCUAUUGUGCUGCUUUCACUCUGUGAUGGAUUUUGAGAAAGAAACCUUGCCAAUCCAAAGUCUCCCACAUGAGCAGCCAUAUCAUCAUCCAAAAGCACAUUUCCAGGUUUCAAAUCACAAUGGACUACAGGUGGGUCACAGUCAUGGUGCAGGUAAUCCAUGGCAGAAGCUAUGUCAAUGGCUAUGUUCAGUCGCUGGAUUAAGCUCAGACUCGACCUAGAUUGGGAGUCUUCCGGGUACAACCAAUUGUGUAAACUACCAUUAGACAUGAACUCCAUAACCAAGGCCUUGAAUUCACCUCCGCUGUGAUCAAUGCUAGAGCAUGAAGUAACAACCUUCACAAGGUUCCGAUGCCGAAUAUUCCUCAGAGCUUCACAUUCUGCAUAGAAACUCUCAGAAGCUUUGCUCUGCUGCAGGUCAAGGACCUUUAUAGCAAGCGUGCUGCCGACUCCAUCUUCACCAGUUCUGAAGGCUCCUUUAUAAACAGACCCGAAGCCUCCUUUUCCUAUUAAAUUUUCUGCUGCAAAACGGUCUGUUGCUUGCUGGAUUUCAAAAUAAGACAUCUUUUCAGGAAACCCCUUGAAAGGAUGGGAAAAGAAACUUUCCACUGUCCUUUUCGUUUUCCUUCUCCGGGAGACCCAUGCCCACAUGGAAUAGAAGAUCACACACAUUAACAAAGUGAAGCCCACAACUGCAAUGAUGAUGGUGAGUCCAAAAUACUUGCUUUGCUUCUUCUUUGCAAUACAUGUAUGGAGUCUCAGCUUGGCUGCAACCUCUUGGUCACUUCCACAAAGCAUAUCAUUUCCUAGGAGAGAAUCCCAGCUAAGAUUAAUGAACACCCCAUUCCUCGGAACUUGUCCUUCCAAGUCAUUGAAAGACAAAUUUAAGCUUUGCAAAACCUUCAGACUCCCCAAAUCUUCAGGGAUUGGGCCAGAGAGAUUGUUAGAAGAAAGAUCCAUGCUCUCCAGUGCCACUAAUUUGCCCACUUUAUCCGGUAUUGAGCCCAUUAUUUCAUUUCUUGCCAUGCUGAGAGUUUGCAAACUUAAGCAGGCACCAAUUGUUUCUGGGAUGUUUCCGGACAACUGGUUGUCAGAAACAUCCAAUAAGGAGAGCUGCUUCAGGCUACCGAUUUCAAUGGGGAGAGAACUAUGCAGAGCAUUUUUUGCUAAACGCAAUUCACUGAGACCGGAGAGAGAACAAAUCUCUCUUGGUAUGCUGCCAUUGAGCCUGUUCCCGGCUAGACCCAGAGUGUUUAAUUGAUGGCAUUCUCCAAUACUCACAGGGAUUCUACCAGAAAACUGGUUGUAUCCCAGUGUGAGCAUAAACAAUUGUGUAAGAUUCCCAAAGAUAUUAGGAAUUUCUCCUGAGAACAUGUUCUGGUGGACAGAAAUUCUCUGCAGUUUAUUCAGUCUUCCUAUGGAAUGUGGCAACUCAUCUGUGAAAAGAUUUUUCUGCAUAGUCAAGGAUAUGAGGUUCUGAAACUUGUCAAUUCCUCUGGGUAAUUUCCCAGUAAAGAGAUUGCUUUCAAUGCAAAAAUGUUGCAGAUGGGCUGACAGAUUUGCAACUGAACUUGGAAGGUCGCCGGCUAGUUUGUUGGAAUCCAGAGUGAGGCUUUCCAAUAGGGUACAGUUUGUGAGGGAAUUGAAUACCUGAAGAUUCAGCUCUGUGGUGGAAGAAAGAUAAUUCGUUCCUAGAUUUAGCAUGAUAAGUUUAUUCAUGUUCCCAAGGAAAGGAAUUGACCCUUGAAAUAAAUUUGAAGUGAGGUCAAGGACCUGAAUUUGUGAAGCAUUGUUUAAAGAAUUGGGUAUCAAUCCUUCAAAGCUGUUCUCAGCCAACAAGAGUUGCCUGAGAUUAGGGAGAGCAAGACCCAUAUCAGUUGGUAGUUUUCCAACAAGAUGAUUUUGGGUUAGUGACAGAAAAGAUAAAGAAGAAAUGUUAUAAAGUGAAUUCGGUAUCUGGCCAGAAAAUUGGUUCUCUGAAAGGCGAAGAGAAACUAGAUUAUGGAGAUUACCCAACUCCUUUGGAAUUUCGCCACGAAAAUUGUUUCUUCCUAGGUUUAGAUGGGUAAGAGAGGUGAGAUUUCCAAAAGUUGGAGGGAUUGCACCACUAAGAUUGUUGGCAUACACAUCCAUAAAUUUCAGUCUAGACAGAUGGCCUAAUUGAGAUGGAAGGGAGCCAACAAGUUGGUUCCUCGUUAAAUUGAUCUCUCUGAGAUUAUAACAAUGAGAUCUAAAACUUGAAGGGAUGUGAGGUUGAAGAGGUGUGGAGGUAUAAUACCAGAAAGGCCAAGUCCGGGCAGGUGGAGAGAUUGAACAGUGGUUCUGUUCCUAGUGCAAGUGACCCCAAACCAAGUGCAGUGAGAUGAAGUGAAGUUCCAACCUGAGAGAGCAUUUUGAGGGUCAGAGACUGUGGAUUUGAAAGACAGAAGCGCCUGUUUGUUGGGGUUAGCAUCUAGAGCUUCCACCCCGCUCAUGCUGGAGUGUAGAAUGAUUUGGAAAUGGAGGAUGAACAGUGAGAGAUGGAGAAGCUUCUUCAUUUUCAAAAUGAAGAUGAUGAGUGUAGGCUCCAGCAUUUGAAGUUUACAACCAUCCACCAUGUGUCAGAAAAUGCUUGUGAGCAAUUUAUAUAGUUGCCAUGGAUAGCAUCAUGCAUAGUGACAUAACAGUGGGAGGCUGCAGCCAUCCGACGACUUGGGAGUCUUUCCCUUCCCCCUUGGUACCAAUGGAAAAUAUUCAUGAAUUAUUUGAAAGUACAGGGGUUUGUUUGACAAUAUUUGACUCCAGAUAUUAUUUGAUAAGUGGUGUUUAUUUUGUGACUAAAUAAAAAAAUAAAAUAAAAUAUUUGAUUUUUUUUUAUUAAAUGAAAAGGAAUUUAUUGAUAUCAACCCAUAUAGUUAAAGUGAAUUUGUUGUCAAUAAUAUUAAUUUAGUUAUAUUGGUUGAAAAAAUAAAAAAACCAAAUAUUUGGAUAAUAUUAAAAAAGAAAAUAUUAAGAAAUUUUGGAUGGUAUGCAAAAAAAUAAAUAAAUAAAUAAAAUAUUCAAGUUAUAGUUGGUUCCAAAACCAAAAGUGAGAAAAAUUAUUUUAUUACAUUUAUAUAAGAAAAGAAAAUACUAAAAGCCUUUGACAAUGAAAAUGCUAAAAGAAAAUGUUCAUCUCCAUUUUUCUUAAUCCUAUAAUUGAUUCUUGAAAAAAUUGAGGAAAAACAUAAGAGGGAAAAAAUAGAGAAGGAAAAUAUAAAAAGAAAAAUAAAAAUAUAAGUGAAGGAAAAGUAAAAAAGAGAUUUAAAAUUAAUAAAGUAUUUUCACAUUUUUUUAUAUUUUUUUACUCGUUUUUUAAUUUAUUUUUUGUGAUAUUUUUUAGGAACUAAACAUAAUAUAAAUGAAUGGGGAAAAAUUUGUCAAGAGAACAUUCCACAUCUAUUCAACGUUUUCUUAUCUCAAUUGUUUUUAUAUCUAUAUAUAUAUAUAUAUAUAUAUAUAUUUAUUGAUUUAUCUUUUUCUUCUUUUCCAUCUUUAAUUUUCUUUCUCCUUAAUUAAAACUUCCAAAAACCAAACAUAACAUAACUAGACAAAAUAAUAAUAAUAAUAAUAAUAAUAAUAAUAUUUGAAACUUUUUUAAAUCACUUUCCUUAGGAAAUGGAAAAUGGGAAAAAAUUUAAAGAGUGUGCAUUCCUUAAUAAUUUAAAAUUCUCUCUCAAUUCUCAGCUAAACAAGAGAAAUCUUAUAGUUUUUCCUACAUGUUUUUUUUUUGUUCUCUUUCUAACUCUCCUUUAUGCUAUGUUUUUCUCAAAAUUUUCAAGAACUAGACCAAACCCAAGAAAGAGAAAAAAAAUGUUAAAAAAAUAAUUUAUGACAUGAAAAAAAAAAAAGAUAAAGAAAGAAAAUACUAAAUUAUUAAGUUCUUAUUUCUUUUGUUAUUAAAAAAAAAAAAUUCUUGAUUUUUCUUCCUCGUAAGAGUUGAAGAAAGAAAAAGGCUCAAAGAAAAGAUUUGAACUUUGUUUACAAGUUUAAAAAUUUAAUUCAAUUUUCUUUAUAAUAAAUGAAAGAACUUGAAAAUGUAAAACUCAAUAAAUAAUUUUUAUUAAAUUUAGUUUUUUUUUUUUUCAUACAAAUGGAGAGAUUUUAGAUUCUUUACCACAAAAAUUUUCCCUUUUCCCAAAGCUCACCUUGAAAUGAAAGAUAUCAUGGUAUGUUUAGGUUGGGAAAAAGUCGGAAAAAAAAAAGAUAUAUAGAGGGGGAAAAAAAAAAAAAGAAAGGAAAUUGUUGUGGAAGCCCCAACUUUCCCUUCUCAUUUUCACUUUCGUCACAUUUAUUCAGAGAAGAUGAUGGACAAGAUUAUUAACAUUUUCACUCUUCUCUUUAUUAAUUUUUUUUUAAAGGAAAAUAGAAAAAAAGACAUAUAGAGAAAUAUAUAAAAAAUAGAUUUGAGGUUAAUAUUUUAUUUUAAUUAAUGCUUCUUCAAACUAAUUUCUCUUAAUUUUUUCUCUUUAUAUAAAGAUUAAAUAAAUUAAAAUUACAUAAAAUUUUAAUCAUAUUUAAUUGUUGUCAUAGUUUUUUUUUUUUUAAAUAAUAAUCAAAUAUGAGAAUUAUUAUUAUUACUAUUAUUUACUAUUUCCUAGCUAGUUUCCUCUCAUCCAACAUAGGGUAUUUUUCUUUUCUUUAGGUGAUAGUUUCCAUGAAUCUCCCACAACCUAUGUUUCAUAGAUAUAGGGGUCCUACACUCCAUUUUCUACAAACAAAUCAUCUAAACAUCCUUCCUCUUCCUUGGCCUUUUCCUCUCAUGAGAUUCUUACAACUGGCUAGGCCACCAUGCAUGCUCUCCAUCCAUCAUUUUCAAAGACAUUUCUAAGCUUGUUUGUCUCUUAAUUUAAGUCAAGAAAGGACAACUCCUUCAACGGACCUUAACAGGUUGUUUGUUUCUUUAGGUGAUAGUUUUCGUGAAUCUCCCACAACCUGCAACUCACAAGAAGUGGAGAUGAAAGAGAGGUGCAAUACUCACUUGACUAAGAUUCCUGAAUGUGUUUCAUAGAUAUAGGGGUCCUACACUCCCUUCUCUAUAAACAAGUCAUCUAAACAUCCUUCCUUUUCCUUGGCUUUUUCUUCUCAUGAGAUUCUAACAACUGGCUAGGCCGCCAUGCAUGCUCUCCAUCCAUCAUUUUCAAAGACAUUUCUAAGCUUGUUUGUCUCUUUAUUUAAGUUAAGAAAGGACAGCUCCAUCAGCGGACCUUAACAGCUUGUUUGUUUCUUUAGGUGAUAGUUUCCAUGAAUCUCCCACAACCUGCAACUUACAAGAAGUGGAGAUGAAAGAGAGGUGCAGUACUCACUUGACUAAGCUUCCUGAAUGUGUUUCAUAGAUAUAGGGGUCCUACACUCCCUUCUCUAUAAACAAGUCAUCUAAACAUCCUUCCUUUUCCUUGGCUUUUUCUUCUCAUGAGAUUCUAACAACUGGCUAGGCCGCCAUGCAUGCUCUCCAUCCAUCAUUUUCAAAGACAUUUCUAAGCUUGUUUGUCUCUUUAUUUAAGUUAAGAAAGGACAGCUCCAUCAGCGGACCUUAACAGCUUGUUUGUUUCUUUAGGUGAUAGUUUCCAUGAAUCUCCCACAACCUGCAACUUACAAGAAGUGGAGAUGAAAGAGAGGUGCAGUACUCACUUGAAUAAGCUNNNNNNNNNNNNNNNNNNNNNNNNNNNNNNNNNNNNNNNNNNNNNNNNNNNNNNNNNNNNNNNNNNNNNNNNNNNNNNNNNNNNNNNNNNNNNNNNNNNNAGGGACAUACAGACGACCAGAAGGAGAUCGCGGCGGGAAGGAGGAGAGGAGGACGCCAUCCUUAAGAACACCACUACCAGAUUUCAUAGAGCGAUACUAUGAUACCCAUACAGGCCACACACGAAUUUUAGAGAUAAAAAGGCAUAAGUAGGCUGCAGAUGGGGAUUCGGAAGAGGUGCAGCUGCACUAUGUGAGAUGGACGUACACACACGUUACAUCACGCAUGGUGAGGGAGUUCUCUAGGCGGCCUUUUCUGUUAUUAAGUGGCAGCCGCAUGGACUGCAUGAGGAGGGUUGACGCAUCAUAGCCACCUUCUUUCCUCCACUGAUAGUGGGCCACACAAUAAGGCAGCCAUCACGCAGCCAUAUGGGAGGAGGCAGCAGCCACUUUUGGAUAUUUAUUUAUUUAUUUAUUUUUUGUCUCCAGAAACUCCAUUGCACAGCCCAUACACGCACCGAUAGAGACUCCACGGGUAGCACUUCUGGGUGAGGGAUAGCAGCACACGGUUUGAUUUUUAUGGUUGAGCAACUUACACGUACGCACAGGCCAUGGGCGCUCCAUUGAUAGGUUAGCAUCAUGUUCGUUUGAAAAAUUAAAACUUUGUUUAGUUGAGAUUCACGGUUUUAGCUUAAAAGUUGGAAUUGUAUUUGGUUUCAUUUUGAUCUAUUGUGCUAAUCCAAAAAGUUUGGAUUUUACUUAAUUUAAUUUUGAUUCAUGAUGUUGGUUUGGAAAAAUACGAUUUUGUUUAGUUUUAACCUAUCUUGUUUAGUUAUAGUUUUAUAGUUUUAGCUCUUUACUUCAAUUAAUUUCAUAUGAUCGAGCUUCCUUUUUUUUUUUUUUAAGUUAUAUAAUUGAAGUUUGAGUUCAUUUUUUUUGGAUUAGGUAUUUUUAUUAUUUUAGUUUAUUUAUCUAAUGGUUUUUGAGUGAUAAAGUUCAUCUUUUAAUUUUGUUUGACCUAGUUUUAAUUCAUCUUGCUUGGCUAUAGUUCUAUAGAUUUAUUUUUUUGGUUUAGUGAAUAUAUGUGAUCAAGCUCAUAUCUUUAGUGUUGUUUUAAAUUUAGUACUAAUCCAUAUGUUUACUUUAGGUGUCUUCACAAUUUUAGUUCCUUAGUUUAAUAAAUUCCAUGUGAUCAAAUUCAUCUUGUUUUAGUUUAGUUGAAUUCAUCUAUUUAUUUUAAAUACUUUUAUAGUUUUAGCUCAUUAAUAAAAUUGAUGAGAUGUUUUACUAUUCAUGUUUGUUUUAGUUUAUUUUAAUUUAGUUUGGUUCAUCUAUUUAGUUGUAGAUGAUAUAUAUAUAUAGCUUUAGUUUAUUAAUAAAAUUUAUUAGGCGUUUGGAAGUUCAUGUGUUCGGUUUGCUUUAAAAAAAAUGCUUAGGAUGUUUUUGGUUUGGUAAUUGAUGUCAGUCUGCUAUAAAAAAAGUCCUCGGGUUGCUUAAGUUUGAUGAAAUUAUAUUAGUUUGCCUUUAAAAAUUCUUGAGAGUUUCUCGUUUGGUAAUUGAUGUUAGUGUGCUUCGUAAAAAGAUGUUGGGGAUGUUUUUAGUUUGAUAAAUUUAUUUUAGGAUGUGUUUUUAAAAAUGCUUAGGAUUUUUUUUUUUUUUUUUUUAAAGUUUGAUGAAUUGAAUAUAGUUUUCUUUAAAAAAAAAAAAAAAUUCUUGGGACGUUUUAGUUUUAUAAAUUAAGAUUAGUUUGUCUCUUGGGAUGUUUUAGUUUUAAAUGGAGUUAAUAGAAGACAAAUUCUUGAAGACAAAUAUAUAUAUAUAUAGUAGUUAGCAUUUACCUUAUCGGUUUUGGUAUUCAUGCAAAUGGGAAGAGAUGAAGAGGUUCACAUGAUAUUCAUUAUGUAAAGGUGUGGUCCAUCAACCUUCCUUUUGCAUGGUUACUUAAAAACUCUUUUUCCUUUUAUUUAUUUUUUAUUUUUUAUUUGAGUAGAAUACAUGGACAAAACCCAUAAUCCAGAUCUUAAAUCAAUUGCUCCAAAUCUUUUCCAAAUCCACGCCCCAUCUCACUUUAAUCAAUCGCUUUAGACGGUUAAACUAUUAGUUGAUGGUUAAAAUAAGAAGUAAAAACCUAAAUGUUACAAUUAUUGCUCUAGAAUAUUUAAAAUAAUCAUUACUAUCAAUAUAAUAAGAUCUCCACUCAAAUAACUCUUAUAGUAAAUAUAUUUUAUUAGAAACUUCCUACUAUCCUAUAAAAGCUCAAAGAAAGGUCAUUUAAGCAAGUUCUGACACUCUCUCUCACCUAUGCCACAGAAUUCCUUGUCACUCUUUUUGGCCGGAAUCACUCGAUCUACUCUUAGAACUACCAUAGUGCGUUCCUAAGCUCCCAACUAGCCUCAUUCUCUUGUAGUCCCUUCCACUUAACUAAGAAUUCUGUCAUAAAAGGUACACAUCAUCUUUUGAUGACUUAAUCUAUGAUGAAAUGAUGUGCCUCUUUGUCAUAAGAGGUUACAACGAUUGUAGGCACCCUUUUUUAUAACCCUUGGCUUGUAUCAACCUUGUCUAUGGUAAGGCUUCAAGUAGCUAGAUGGAAGAUAGGAUGAAUCUUCAACCUCAAAGGCAACUUGACCCUAUGGGAGACCUUGCUGACGAGUCCUAACACAAGAAAGAGGCUUUCAUAUCUCUUCACAAGGCCUUUGUGCACAGGCCUUAGGGACUUAAACUAUUGAGAAAGGAGCUCAACAAAUGCCAAGUCUCCAACUUGAUGCUCCAUGUGUUGUCUCUUCUUGUCAGAUCAUUUUUUCAUCUUCUUAGUGGCUUUGUCUAAGUAUGAGCGAGCUAUGUCAGCUUACUCUUGUCAUCCCUUAUCAAACUUGAAAGCUCCUAUCACUAGUGUGUGGGGAACCAAAGACUACUACAUCGUAGCUAGCUCAAAUGGGCUCUUAUUAGUGACCUCACUUCUUUGCAAGUUGUAAGAGCAUUGGGCCACAUUCAACAACUUAACCUAACCUCAUUGAUUGUCACUCAUAAAGUGACUCAAGCAUAACUCCAACAAAGCGUUCACCUUUUUUGUUUGCCCAUCCUUUUGUAGGUGAAAGCUAGUAGAGAAGUGAAACUCUGAUCCCAUCAACUUGAAGAGCUUCGUUUAAAACUUUCUAGUGAAGUGCAGGUGACGAUCAUUAAUGAUGUGUUUAGGCAAUCCCCAAUACUUGAAAACAUGCAUCAGGAAUAGCCUCAUCUUCUUAUCUACGGUAUAAUCUGAAGGGGCUACUAGGAAUAUUGUAGUGUAUUUAAAGAACCUGUCCACCUCCACAAUGAUUAAGCCAUGUCCUUCUAACUUUUGUAACCCAAUGAUGAUGUCCAUGGUGACACUCUUCUAUGGAUGCUCCAUGAAAGGUAAUGGCUCCAACAUGCAUUUUAGUUGUUGUUGCUCUACCCUGUCUUGUUGGCUCACAAGAAAAGUCUUCAUGUAAGCCUCAACUUCAUCUCGCAUCUGAGGCCAAUAUUAUGCAAACUCAAGUAAUGCUCUCAUGCGUCGUUGCCUAGGGUGCCCAACCCAUUUAAUAUAAUGGCACUCCUUAAUCAAGUUUCUUCUCAUGUUUUCCUAUUUAGGCAUGUAGAGUCAUCUCCCUUUGGUGUCAAGUAGGUUGUCUUCCACCUAGAUUGCUUAGUUUUCCCCUCAUGGGCUAAAGUGAUGAGACUCUUAACCACAAAUCAUUUUAUAGCCCUUCCUUUAAAAGAUCCACCAACUCUCCUUAGGGAUAGCUAGUCAUGGAUGCUAGCUUCACCUUAUAGCUUAGGGUGUCGACCACCUAAUUUACACUCCUUGACUUAUACUCCAUCAUGUAGUCAAACUCGGCCAAUAAGUCUUGCCAUUGUGCUUUCUUAUGACUUUGCUUCUUCUGUGUAUGGAAGUAGCUAAUGGCAACGUUAUUAGUCUUUAUUACGAAAUGAGACCCCAAUGGAUAGUGUCUACAGGUGAGUAAGCAAUGAAUUAUAGUUGUCAUCUCAUUCUCUUGCACUGUAUACCACCACUAGGUGUCAUUAAGCCUGGGACUCUCAAAGGCGAUAAGAUGUAUGUCUCACAUUAAAACUCUUUCAAUAGAAAAGUCGAAAGCAUCUGUGUGCACCUCGAAUACCUUGGUGUGGUGGAGUAGUGCCAACACCGGUUCAUUUGUCACAAUCUUCUUCAAAUCCUCAAAGGCUUGCUAUCACUUUUCAUCCCAUUCCUAUGCCUUAUUCUUAUUGAUAAGAUCAAUAAGUGGAGUUGCCUUAGAUGAGUAGCCUUUGAUAAACCAUUAGUACUAAUUGACUAGACCAAGAAAAUAUCUUAAUUGAGGUACCUUGGUAGGCAGAUCCCAUUCUUGGAUGGCCUUGACCUUAGUAUCAUCCAUCAAUUAGCUUGUCAUCCUUGAUGCAAUGCCCUAGGAAGCUCACUUUUCCCUUAGUGAAUGAGCAUUUCUCCUUCCUUACAUACAACUCGUUCUGCCUUAGGAUCUCAUAAACCUUUCUUAGAUGUUGCAUAUGCUCCUCCAAGGUGUUGCUAUAGACAACAAUGUCAUCCAAGUAUACCACUACAAACUUGUCCAAGAAUGGAUGAAAGAUCUUGUUCAUAAGCAUUUAGAACGUGGCUAGAGCAUCAGUGAGUUUGAAGGGCAUCACUAAGAACUCAUAGGAGCCAUACCAAGUCACACACGUUGUCUUUGGAUCAUCCCCCUCCAUAAUCCUUAGUAGUAGCCCGACCUCAAGUCCAACUUUGUGAAGUAUUUUGCCCUACCAAGCUAAUUGAAUAGAUUGACAACAAGUGGAAUAGGGUAUCUUUUUCUUAAUGGUUCCAAGGAACUCUUUUUACGGAUCACACUUAUACAUAAUCAUUAAAUUCAAACCUUGUUUUGUUAUCAUUAAAACACAACAUUAACCAAACCUUGGUCUAACACAACAUUGAGUACUUUAAGUCAUGGCAAAUGGCUAAGCUCAAAAUGAAGCUUUUUAGUAGUGGAUGUACUAUAAAUGAAUCUCCUUAAGGUUAGAAUAAAUUAAAAUUAGAGGGACCGACAAGAAUUGUUCCAUUUAUGGAAUUUUGUGCAAGGUUAAUAUGCUGAACAAAUGAGGGUUGGCCAUCUAGAAGAAUUGGCCAUAAAAUGAGUUGAAGUUGGAGAGUUUGAGGGGAUAUGAUGCCAGAGAUCCCAAGUAUACGAACCAAGUUAAGUGAACCAAGCCAACUGAGUACAGUGAGAUGAAUUGAGGUUCCAUUCUUGAGUUCCUUUAUUGGUGCAAGAGACACCGUACCAAGUAUAGGCGAUGAAUUUAGGUUCCAAACUAACAAAGCAGCAUGAAGGUCAGAGGCUGUGGAUUUCAAAGAUAGAAGUGCAUAUAUAUCGGUGUUAGCAUCAAGAGCUCCUAGCUUGUUCAUGCUACAAGGUAGAAUAAUUUGAAACUGAAGGAAGGUGAGUCAUGCAAUCUGGAGAUGCUCUUUCAUCUUUUUAAAUCAAGGUCAUGGANNNNNNNNNNNNNNNNNNNNNNNNNNNNNNNNNNNNNNNNNNNNNNNNNNNNNNNNNNNNNNNNNNNNNNNNNNNNNNNNNNNNNNNNNNNNNNNNNNNNNNNNNNNNNNNNNNNNNNNNNNNNNNNNNCUUUCAUAAUCUCUUCCCAUAUUAUAUCAAUGAUAAUUGAUUUGAUCUGGAUUUCACUUCUUAUGUUGUCUGCUUUUAAGAACAAUAUUUCAUUAGACUUUAGUAUUCGGACUUAUAUUUAUACGUACUAGUUAGCUAGCGUAAUUUCUUCUGCUGUUAUACACUUCAUUUAUAAUAAACAACUUUAAUAUUAUUCUGUCAAAUAUAUGAAUAUUUACCAAUUUACAACUCGUAUAUACAAGUCUUCAUGCACAACUCUCACCCUACAUACUACACAUUUGCCAAUAUUUGUACACAUUCAAAGAUUCCUUUUAUGAAAAAACAAAACAAAAUAAAAUCUAAUGGUAGUGACAGUACUGAAUUGCCACAGUCAUAAGACUAACCCUGUUUUAUGCAAAGGAAGCUCGUCUCCUUUGACCAAUUGGUGAGUCUGGUAUACAGGGCAUAUGGCCAUGAAUCGUCUGAAUGAAUAUGGGUUCUAUUUAGUCUUUGAUCCAGGGAGCAUGACAGUUUAAGCUUGUGCUUAGUUUUCCCUUUGAAUGAAUAUGUACGCAUCCCAAUGCAAUCAUAAAGUCUAUGGAUUCAUCUUGAAUCCUAAUGCUUAAUCUUCUCGACAAUAUGAAGUGCAAUAAAAUAAACAAAUGCACUCUAUCCAAUUGUUAUAAAAAUUACUAAGUUGGAAAUUGUCCACAUAGGCAUGUGAAUUAUCGAGUUAUCCUAAGAUUGGACAGCCGGUCUUUCUUGAUAAGAAGUUAAUACAGAUUUUUUCUUUUUCUUCUUUGAGAUUUUGUAACUGUUGUGUGUGCAUGAUUGGUCACUCAUUUGCUUGUGACAUCAUCUUCAUAACUUAUUUUCUUCACAAAAAAUAUUCUUUUUUAUUCUGUGACAGAAUUUAAAAGUUGACUUUGACUGGUUUACCACUUAGUUGCAACUUCAUGUUCUUAGCCGUCUUCCCCAUCUCCAGUUCAAAAGCCUUGUUUCUAUUUCUAAGUUAGUAAGAGCCACUACAAGAAAAAAGUGAAAUAAUGACGUUUUUUAAGCGUCAAGAAAGGUAAAAGAUGACACUUCCCCGAAGCGUCAUCUCCGCCCCUGUCAUUAAAUGUUACAAUUAACAAUGACAUUUCCAAGAAGCGCCAUCUUUUAUUAAUGCUUUCAAUGGCGCUUUAAGAAGUGUUAUCCUUUAAUAAUGUCAACAAUGACACUUGUGAAAGUGUCAUCUUUGAACAUUUUAAUUGAAAUAAUUUUUAUAAAAUUACCACUCUUGACACUUUUGCGAACGCCAUCUUUGAUUUAAUCUUAUUAAUGACACUUUUAAAAAUGUCUUCUUUGUUUCAUGUUAACAAUGACGCUUAUAAAAGCAUCAUCUUUGAACAGUUUCUAUUAAAAAAUAAUAUUUUGAUUAUGUUAUAUAAACAAUUGAUUUCUUAUAUAAUUAAAUUAAAAAAACAAUUACAACCAAUAAAAUAAAAUCAAAUAUCCAAAUAUUGAUACACGUGAACCUAGUUUAAACAAUUAACGUAACCACCUAUAUAUAUUAAUUACACAUAAACUUGUUAAUUAUAUCAAAAUAUUUCAAUAAGAAUUUCUAAUUCUAACAUAAUAACAAACAUUGGUACUAAGACUACUAAAAUAAACCAUAAUCUUUAAAAGCAUAGUUCAACCUCCUAAUGAGUUCACUGAUGUAAUCUUCAUGGUUUUUGACUUCAUCUUCUUUAACACAAUGGUUUUUCUUCUUUUAGCAAACAAGUUUCCUUUGCAACCUGUAAAUAAAAAUAAGGAAGAGUAUAAAAAGUCUAAAUUAUUUAUACAUACAAUAAAUAAUAAGCAUAAAUGAAAUAAUAACCUUCACAAAAUUAAUUUAGGUUAUCAAGUUUGCUUACAUGAAUCCCCUUAGCCUCUUACAUACAUGGAUUGUGCUCCUUUCAAUUCAUUAUACGAAAAAAAAAAUUAUAUUAUGAAGUGUUUUUGAAAUAAAAUAUAACAGAUUAUUCUAAUGUAGAUAAAAAGCUCUCCAUUGUCAUCUCUAAANNNNNNNNNNNNNNNNNNNNNNNNNNNNNNNNNNNNNNNNNNNNNNNNNNNNNNNNNNNNNNNNNNNNNNNNNNNNNNNNNNNNNNNNNNNNNNNNNNNNCUUUGAACAUUUUAAUUGAAAUAAUUUUUAUAAAAUUACCACUCUUGACACUUUUGCGAACGCCAUCUUUGAUUUAAUCUUAUUAAUGACACUUUUAAAAAUGUCUUCUUUGUUUCAUGUUAACAAUGACGCUUAUAAAAGCAUCAUCUUUGAACAGUUUCUAUUAAAAAAUAAUAUUUUGAUUCUGUUAUUAAAACAAUUGAUUUCUUAUAUAAUUAAAUUAAAAAAACAAUUACAACCAAUAAAAUAAAAUCAAAUAUCCAAAUAUUGAUACACGUGAACCUAGUUUAAACAAUUAACGUAACCACCUAUAUAUAUUAAUUACACAUAAACUUGUUAAUUAUAUCAAAAUAUUUCAAUAAGAAUUUCUAAUUCUAACAUAAUAACAAACAUUGGUACUAAGACUACUAAAAUAAACCAUAAUCUUUAAAAGCAUAGUUCAACCUCCUAAUGAGUUCACUGAUGUAAUCUUCAUGGUUUUUGACUUCAUCUUCUUUAACACAAUGGUUUCUCUUCUUUUAGCAAACAAGUUUCCUUUGCAACCUGUAAAUAAAAAUAAGGAAGAGUAUAAAAAGUCUAAAUUAUUUAUACAUACAAUAAAUAAUAAGCAUAAAUGAAAUAAUAACCUUCACAAAAUUAAUUUAGGUUAUCAAGUUUGCUUACAUGAAUCCCCUUAGCCUCUUACAUACAUGGAUUGUGCUCCUUUCAAUUCAUUAUAUGAAAAAAAAAAAUUUAUAUUAUGAAGUGUUUUCGAAAUAAAAUAUAAUAGAUUAUUCUAAUGUAGAUAAAAAGCUCUCCAUUGUCAUCUCUAAAAAGCUCUUCAAAAAAGACCUCAUAAAAGAAUUCAUCAAAGUAAAACUAGACAUACAAAACAUUUCAUUAAGGAGACCAAUGAGUUGAAACUAAAUAAAUAAAUUUGUACUCUAUCAACAAAAUACCCUGAACUACAAUUUCAACUACCAUAUUAUGCUUUCCCCAAAAUAAGGAAAAAAAAUGUACUUAAAUUUUUUUAAAAAGUUUGAUUUUUUAUUCAACAACAUAGAAGAAAUAAAUUCUGUUUUUAUGGCAGUGAGUCUCAUGUUAAACAUUUCUUCUAUGGUACGUUGUGGUUGGUCCACUUGAUUGAUUCCUCAUGCUAUUAUGGUUCAUAACAAUUUCAAGUUCUGUUCUUGGUUGGAUUGGUGUAAUAGAUUAAUACUUUGUCCCAACUUGAAUAAUAAGCUUAAGAGAUGUCAAAAAGCUGAAAUUAUUAAGCACUUCAACAAUCCAACACAUUGGCUUUAAAAAAUAAUUAUUCAAGUCAUUAAGUUAAGACUUAUAUUGUUUUUCUUUUUUCUACUUUUUUACCCAUUGUUUGGUUGCUAAGAAAAUAGAGGAUAAAAAAAAAACAAAAAACAAAAUGGAUUCUCACAAAUUCUGUUUUUUCAAAUUCAAUCAAAUGGAAAUAUCAAUCCAACUAAGCCAAGUAUGUGUAUGGUGUAUAUAUUAAACUCAAUUAAAGAUUUUGAUUUCACUCCUUUGCAUAUAUUUCUCAACAAUCAAAAUAGAGCCUUAUAAGAAAAUCAUAACUUUGAGAGAUCUAUAUAUACUCCAUCCAAAUCUUAUAUUUCCAAACAAAACAAACAUCAAAACACAUUAAUCAUGACAUAAUAGUCUGUUUGUCUCCAGGAAAAUUUAGAGAGAAAAAAAGAAAAAUAAAUAAAUAAAAUUUUUCUUCCUCAGAUUUUUCAUUGCAACUGAGACUAAUAAAACAAGCAGAAGACAUAAAGAUCCAAAAGCUUCAUUUCCUUGUCUUUUUUCUUUUCAGCAACCAAAUGCACUAAGUAAUCUAAACAUUAAUUUUAAAGACAAUAACACAAUGAAGGAUUCAGUCAUUAAUGGAUAAAAAACAAUCUUUCAUCAAAUCUUGAUUCUCAUAUUUCUCACUCCAACUGUUGUAAUACUACCACGUCACUCAAAUCAAUCAAAUAACACAAAACACAAAGAUUCAAAAUUUUCUUUUAAAAGGAAAAAAACGAGAUAUACAACCAUUAAUAGAUCAGAUAGAAUUCUCCAUCAAAUUUCUAGUCCCAGAUUUUUCACUCCAACUGUUCCAAUUCCACUACAUGAUCAACAAAAAAAAAAUUAAAAUAGAAAUAAUUUUUAAAAUUCAAAAUUUAAAAACACACACACAUUGCCACCACCACUACCAAUAACAACAAUGAGAAAUAUAUAUAGUUAAUAAAAAUAAAAUCAAUCAUUUGUCAAAUCUCUACAUGAAAAAAUAAAUAAAUAAAUAAAAUAAAAUAUAAAAAACACACACACACAAAACAUAAAACACAAAGAUUCAAAUAUAAAUAAUAAGUAGCAGAGUGAUCGAUAGAUUAAAAAAUUCCCCAUGAAAUGUCAAGUCUCAUAUUUUUCAACAUCCAACUGCUAUAUAUAAUACUCUAUGGAAUACUCAAUCAUGAACAAAAAUAUGAAACACAAAGAUUUAAAACUUUCUUUUCUCAGCAACUAAACAAUAAAGGAAAUCAGAGUUAGAACUCUUCUAGGGAUCAUGUGGAAGAGUCUGUUAUAGUCUCAAAAACCUAUUCUUCCCAAGAGUAUAGCAUAUUAUUCUCACUUCAACUGUAUCUAAAAUCACUACGGAAACUGUCACAACUCCACACCAAGUAAGCUAAUAAUUUCUGCCACAUUAGAAAGAGUGGGAGGAUUAUGCAUGAUAACCCUUCACUUUUAAGUAGAUCAAAUGUGGCAAGAUGCCUAACCGAUUUAAUCAAUAUGGAGGUGAGGUGGCUCCCACACCCAAUGCAGACCUUUUGCCUUCAAUCCACCAACUAUCCUCACCAGCUGACGCCAACACAACCCCCACCAAGUUGAUAUAACCACAUAACACUCACCGCCACCACUUUAGAUGUCACCACACAACCAUGAACAUUAUCCUAUUCCAAACUAAUAAAUGCACUGGGUUCAUAAAAUCAAAUGAGUUUGAACCCAAUAAUGGUUUAUUGUUUAUUGAGUUAAAAUUCUACAUCAAAUUUAAACUUAACGCUAGGGAAUUAGAGGGCCUGACCUUUCCAUGCCUACCAGUGCAGAAAACAGGAGGAAUGGGGUACCUCUCACUCAACCUCUCCCUCACUUUUUCCUUUUGGAAUGGCGGGGUAAUACUGCUACUCUGUUGGGCUUCCUUGAGACAGGCCGUCCAGGAUGACUGUUCUUGGGAACAUUUUUCAGUGGGUGUAUGUUGCAGCUUCUCUGUUUCAUCCCUGGCGGGACUACCAUCUGAGAGGACUGUCAGUUCACUAACCAGGGAAGGAGUUUCCUCCAGCUCUUUGUCUGUGACAACCCUUAGGCUCAGGCAAACCUUCUGUAUGAUGAUGGACAAUGAACAAAGCAUCCUCUUCUGUUCUUCAGCAUCCCUGCAGUCUACACGUAAGAAAAACUCCAAGACAAAGUCAGAUGAAGGAACAUGAAUACUCCACAGGCGUAUUGCAACAGCAGCACAUCGAAAACAAUUCUCCAUCAGCAUAUUAUUCUCACUUCAACUGUAUCUAAAAUCACUACCUGAUCCAAAAUAUAAAAAAACACAAAACAUGGAGAUUCAAAAUUUUCUUAUUCUCCCAAAUAUAAAAUAAUGAGAAAUGCAGUUAAUAGUGGAUCAAUAACAGAACAAAAUCAAAACUUAGCAUUUCAUCAUGAAAAAAGAAUGAAUCAUAGAACAAAGGAGACUAUUGAGUUACUUUUGAAAGAAGUCUUCAUCGACGACAACAGCUAUGUCGAUGAGAAGGUUGCUCGUGUUCAAGAGAAUUCCUUUGUAAGCAAUUGGUAGUGAGGAGGUUAAGCUUCUGGCACUCCUUGUCAGGAAUGAAGAUAGUUUUGGUCGAGGGUAGUGAUGGUGGAUUUUCGGGAGUCUCUAAUGGAUUAGGGUUUCAUUUCUAAAUAUUGUCGAUAAAGUCUUUGACUAAUGGCUGGUGGUCUGUAGUCGUUUACUGGUAGUCACCAGUUGGUUCCUAGUGGUCGCCCAUGUGUUCGUCGGUGAAAUCAUCUACAGGUAGCUUUCCUAUACAAAUGGGGGUUUGUCGGGUUGAGAUGGUGUUUGUGAAGAUGAAAUGCUAUUUUAGAGAAGGGAAAAUAUGGAUUGUGUAUAUAUAACGAGAGACAAUGACCCUUGUAAAAAGUGCUAAGAAAAGACAUUAUGUAUAUGCAGGAGACAAUGACACUUGCAACAAGCGCCAAGGAUGUUCAUAUUUAUCAAUGACACGUUUUCAAGCGUCAUCUUCAAUAAAGCGUCAUUAUUUUAUAUACGAAAACGCCAAUGUUAAUUGAAUUUCUUCAAGUGCCAAUGUAAAUAUUAAGGAAGUGUCAUCAUUUAGAAAGCGCCAUUAUUGGUUUAAUUCAUUGACGUUUUUUAAAAAGGUCAAGAAAUUAAGCGUCAUUAUUUAGUAUUUUUGUAGUAGUAGCUAUCCUUACCCCUUCAUUUAUCAGGAUUGUAUAUAUAGUGUACUCUUCAGUGCCAUUAUAUAUUGUGUCAAUUGAUUCAUCUCAAAGGUCUAGUUUUUAAACUUGUUGGUAUUAUAUGUAUGAAUAUACAUAAUUCAAUUGCUAUGAAAAAAUUAAUAAAUAUACUCCAUAACAAUUAUUGGAAGUUGGUGACUAUCUGUAUGGUUGACCUGGUAAACAGAUUCAUCUCAAGAUGGCACAGUAAGCUCUUUCUAGAGAAGUCAACAUAGACCAUUUUAUUGUGUUUUUUAUUUUAUUUUAUUUUAUUUUUAAUCUUUCUUCUUCUGCAACAAUUAUCGAUUAGUUGAGAUAAUGAUAUUGGUCCAACACUUGUUAAUGGCAACAUCAUUUUUGUUAGCCAUUUUCAUUUAUCUACUAUGUAGAAGCCUUGUUCCAUAUGCCUACUCUAUAAGAGCUAUCUUCCGUGUAUCAUAGAUGGAACGUGGAACAGAUAAUGCAUAUGCAAAACAUAGAAGAAAGAACUCUACGGGGAUUAUUUCCUAGGAAAAACUAAUCAGGAUUUAGUGCUAGUAGCAUACUUUUAGUCUAGUAAAUUUUGUGAGUUGAGCAGACUAACAGACAUUCUAAGCUUAGUCCCUUUGUUUUAUAACUCAAAAAGGGUGUGGUUUUCAGUUAGUAUUUGAGUUACUUUUUUUUUUUUUUGAUGGCUAACAAGAAAGCCGCUCUGCGCCCACCCCCCACCACCAAAAGAAAAAGGAAGUGAGAAAGAAAGAAAGAAUAAAUCAGAAUAAGAAUUGUUCUAAUAAAAAUUUAGAAGCGCAUCUUUAAAAUACUUAAAAUUAUCCUUAGAUUAUGUGCAAGGAGUAAGGUCUAUGCAAAUGUAAUAAAAGAAAACAAGUUAUAAUCAUCCCAAUUACUAUAAGAUACAAAUUAGAGAUCUCUCAAGGUUUAGUUUAGAAGAUUCUUCAUGUAUUGUUCAAAAUAUUGAUUUGACUUAUCAACAAGAGGCAGAUUACUCUUCUUCCAAAACUGGAAUACAUUUGACUGGUCUUGUGAGCUAAUCAUGAUAAAACAAAACAGUCAGACAACCUAGAUUUUCUUAAUGUGUAAUUAAAUAGUUAGUGUUUCUAAAUCGAUCCCUCAUGUUUUCAGUAUAAAUACUCAACCUCGACUAAAUUCUUCAUUAUCAUCCCAUUCUUACCUUUUGUUUUCUUUAGCUUGUAAUGUAUUCAUCCUCUAAAGUUAGCAUGGCAAAGAUUUAUUCCUCAAGCCUCCAAAGUCAUGCUGACAGCUAUAUUUAUAGCAAUCCUAUUGCUUAUGUCUUUUGUGGCCACUACUGCAAUUCUACAGGACACAACAAUAGGAGUUAAAUUAGGUGAGUAGAAAAUUAUCAUAUGGACUGUUCUAUUUUUGUUUCUCAAUGCCAAGAUACUUUUGCUUUUUGCUAUCAACUUUGCAUGCCUUUUGCCUUUUUCAUUUCUGUGAUUGUGAGUGAAAUUUGUUCAGUUUCUAUGAGUUGGGGGUUUUAUUGAACUCCAGCCAUGGAAUUUGUAACUGAGAAACCUUCAAACGGAAGGGUCUACUCAUCUAUGAUCUUGACCAUUUAUUAUUUUUGUGUUGCAGGAUGGAAGGCUCUAGGUUUAUCCGUCCAUGUUGAUUAUGAAGACCAGUAUGAUACAGGAGGGGGAUGAUACAGCUCAACAAGUCCAUAAUCACUUCAGAAUUAGGUUCCCAAGAGUUGUUUUUGAGAAGGUUGCCAAAUAAAUCUUAGAAUUUCUUUCUGUUUCUGAGUGAUAAUAUGGUUCAUGUACUUUAUUCUAUGGCUGAUGUAGAUUUUACUAGGAAGCAUUUGUACCUUAAAGAAGCACAGAAAGUUUGGUGUUAGAAUCUCUAAAAAUGUUGUGAUUUUUAUUUUUAUUUUUCACUUAUGUUGAAAUUAUAAAUUAAGGGCUUUUCUCCUAGUUCCAUUGUAAUUCUCUCUAGUACUCUAGGGAGGAGUCUACCUCAAAUCCCACUCCAAAUUACUAGUUCACAAAACUCAAUUAAUCGCUGGGAGUUCUUAAUGCC
rnacentral:lncRNA from 1 species